AACUCUUUUUUAAUUUUUAGCAUUAAAAAAUAGAAUUGAUCAGACAAAUACAAAAAUUUUGAUCUUUUAAAAACUAGAUGUAAAAUAUUCAUCUAUAUUAUAAAUGUACAGUUAGUAUAUCUCAUACUAUACUGUAUCCCUAUGGCAUGGCACUUUCACAUUCACUAUACCUCAUGUCAUGUCUCUGACCUGUUGUACAUGUAUUGUCUCCUCAUGACCCUUUAAACAGUAUAGCUUUGUAGACACUCAUGCACAGGAUAUAGUACUAUUGACUGUUGACUAGCAACAAGUUUAAUGAGGUAUACAAUGAGGGUCAAGACCUACAGGGAAAUAAAAAUAAAAACAGGAGAAAAAUUUUGGAAAUAUUUAAUGAUCAAAAUUUUACAUCUGAAUAAUUAGUGCAAUGCUUAUUAACUUCAACUAGUUAACAUAUUCUAUAAAUUUUCUCCAGAAAAGAGUAUAUUCUCCAUUUUAGGAGACAUAUAAUAAUGAGAUAUAUAGAUGAAAAUUAACAUGUUAGCUAUAUAGCUUUUACUUUAGUGUAUACUAGUUUAUUUUGAUAUUGUUUAGCAAAUGAAGAAUAACAUACAAAUAAAAUCAAACUUAAAUCUGUUCAAAAUAUUACAAAAGGAUGAACACCAAGUUAUUUAGAAUUAAUGAGGUAUAUUUUUGAAACUAUAGGAUGAAAUCAUUAGAUAUGAAUAUAAUAAAAUUAUAUUAAUGCCAAAGUGAGAAAUUUACAAGAAAGAGCACUAAGAGAAGGUUGAGUUUUCAAAGUUCCAUAGAUGAUCAUUUAAUUAAUAAAAUUUAAGGGAUACAUAAUAUUAGAAAAUAGAUAUCAUCAAUUCCACUUAGAUGAUAAAUAUAUAGACAUUAAUUAAUAUAGACAUUGCAUGUUAAGCAUAUAUUUAUAACAAUCCCUCCCACAAUUUCCCAAAUACAUUUCGAGUUCCUAAGCUCCUUUUUUUUUUGAGAAAAUUAGUUCCUAAGCUCCUGUUGAUGAAAACCCAAGAAGACAAAAUCAUCAUUUCCAACAAAAUCAUCAUUUCCAAUUCCAUCCAUACUAUGAUACAUUCCCUAACCAUCACAACAAACCACACAACUCAAACAAAAGAAAAUUGAAAAAGAAUAAAAAAAAACCCCACAAACAAGGACAAACCCAUGGCUUGAAUCAUCAUGAUCACCAACAAAAUAGAUGACUAUUCAGCAUCCAAGUCUAUAUUAGCAUUCACAACAACUCAUUCAUUCAAUAGGACUAGCUGAAACAAAAUGAGUCCAUUAUAUAUAUAUAAUAUAUAUGUAAAUAUUAACCCUACACUAAUUAGAGCUCAAUAAUUUACCCCUAAAAAUCAUUCAAACACACACAUAUAUAGGAAACUCUAGGCCUAGUUAAACACCGAUAGUGGUAUCAAACCCCCGGCUGCGGCUGCCGCUGCAUGCGACUCCAUCGCCGCCUCCUGAUCACGACCAUCGACGGGGAGACCGUCGUCGAGUGGCAUCAUAACAUGGCCAUGAAAGUAAUGCAUUGCCCCCUCCGGCUCCCCGUGAGGGGGGGCCGCCGACUGCGGUGUGCCGUCGGCGAGCUGCGGGGGCGACGGCCCCCGGUUGCUGCUGCUGCUACUGCUGCUGUUGUUGUUGGGCCGCUUCCGCUUCUUCUUCACGUAGGCGAUCCCACGGGCCUUGGCUUGGCAAUCGCGGACCUGUUGGAUUUAAAAGCGUUAAAUAUCACUCUCUAAUAGCUUAAGCUUCGAAUCCUACGAAGUUAACAGUCUCGACCAUUCUCUAUCAUUGGAUAACACCUGCAGGAAAAUCACAUGUAAAGCGCAUAGAAAGCAAAUACAUUCUGCUGCUAGUAAGCACUGAGAUCAUUCCUCUGCCAAGCAUAUAAAAAACAAAUACAUUCUGCUGCUAAGCACUGAGAUCAUUCCUCUGCAAAGUGCAUAGAAAGCAAAUACAUUCUGCUGCUAAUGAACGGUGGUGAGAUCAUUAAAUCCUCUGCGCAAAAGUUUGUACGCACAUGGAGUAGUUUCACAAACUUCUUAUAAGUAAGACUUAUUACUUGUAAUGAGCAUGCAUGCAUGACAUUAAUUAAUUACUCUGCACCGUAAGUCGGUCAGAGUCUGCAGCUUAAGCUUUUAGAGUAAUCGGCGGUUUUGUCGCAUGCAUGCUGAGAAGUAGUGAAGAGUGUGUAGUGUGUAGGUGAUUUGGGACCUGGUGGUCGCGGACGUCGUGGAGGAAGAGGCGGACGGCGCGGGCGGCGAAGGGGUUGGCGUCGGGGCGGCCGCCGUGCUCCUCGAAGGCGGCGCGGAGGCGGCCGACGAGGGCGUCGAGGCUGCCCCAGGCCUGGCGGAGGGGGCAGGGGCAGGGGGCCGGCGGGCAGGGGUGGCCGUAGAAGGGGCAGGGCGCGNCUGCAGCUUAAGCUUUUAGAGUAAUCGGCGGUUUUGUCGCAUGCAUGCUGAGAAGUAGUGAAGAGUGUGUAGUGUGUAGGUGAUUUGGGACCUCGCGGAGGUAGAGGCGGACGGCGCGGGCGCCGAAGGGGUUGGCGUCGGGGUGGCCGCCGUUCUCCUCGAAGGCGGCGCGGAGGCGGCCGACGAGGGCGUCGAGGCUGCCCCAGGCCUGGCGGAGGGGGCAGGGGCAGGGGGCCGGCGGGCAGGGGUGGCCGUAGAAGGGGCAGGGCGCGGCGUGCACCUUGGUCUUGCCGAACUGGUCCAGGUACCGGAGGAACUCCAGCACGUGCGCCCCGCUGCACCGCGACAGCGCCAGCGGCGGCCGGUGGUUCCGCAGGUACUGCCCGAACGUGUUCCAGUCCCGCCGCUUCUGCGACUCGUAUCGGCUCGGCCGCACCGCCGCCGACGCUCCCGAGCUGUCCGAGUUCGGGCUCGCCGCCACGCCCCCCGACGACAUGCUGCAUGCAUACGCAUUGCAUUGCCGCGCAUUUGGUUAAUUCAUUCAUUCAUUCAUUAAUUGUUAGAAAAUUAAAUUACAACUUAAACUAGAAUUUAUCCUGACCUGACCUGACCUGACCUGACCUGCAGUAUAUAAUAAGCUUAUGCAAAGAUUUACUUAAUUUUCUACUACCUAUAUAUAUAUAUAUAUAUAUAUAUAAUUGUGUGAUGAUUGUGGUAUAGCUGGAGUUUGAACUAGGGGAAUGACCGAGAAAUUAUAUUAAAUGAUUAUAUAUAUAUAUAUAUAUAUAUAUAUAUAUAUAUAUAUAUAUAUAAAAAUUAAAGAUGAUGAUAAAUAUUGUGAGCAAGUUAUUGAGAUAUAAAGGAGUGAUUAAAUUGCUUUUGGCUAGCUUGAUAAGCAUUUUUUAUUAGCUAUCAAAAUUGAUUAUGUGUAGGUGAUUCUGUAGUAGGGGAAAAGAGAGGAACUGAACAUCGUCUAAUUAAAUGAGGAGUUAAGGCACAUGGGGGAGCUGUGUACAUGUAAGCUAAUGAGGAGUUUUGCAUGAGGUGAUCAAAGAGAACUUGCCUGUUAUAUAAAAGCAAUAUAGGAGAGAGGGAAGGGAUUUGAUCCUUCUUUUAUUUGGCUUGUAAUUAGAUGUAUGGUAAUCUAAUGGUGAACCUUGUAGGAAUCUAGCAAAACCCGAGAGAGAGAGAGAGAGAGAGAGAGAGAGAGAGAGAGUAUUUAAUUUGUAUAAAAUAACAACUGGAUGUUCCUUAUUAGGAAUAAUCAUGACAAAUUUAAGUGCUUUUUUAAAGGACAAAAUUUUGUUGAAAAGAAAGAAAGAUCUUUUCAUGGGACUUACUUGAAAUCCAUGCCUUCUUGAGAACUCAGAGAGGAGUGAGGAAAAAAUUCUUAAAAACAGGUCCAAAGAGAGCCUCACAACUACAUAUCAACCGUGACCCAUCAUAGCCUUUUAGUUCCAAAAUGGAAAUAUCUCCUAAAAUUCCACACACACACACAAAAUCCCCAAACCAGAUGGUUUUAAUGAGAUCAACAAGGGGAGCCUUUCUUGGUGUGAGGAAGCAAAGGGUAGUGCUAAGGAGAAAUAUAUGGAAUAAAGAUAUGUAUAGAGAGAGAGAGAGAGAGACCCACAAUAAAGAAAGACUUGGUAGGUGCAAUAGAUUGAUGAUGGUGAUGAUAAAAGAAGCUAUUAGGGAAUGAGAUCUCCAACACCCAUGCAAACAAACACUUCUACAUGCUAAAAAAGGAUAUGUAUAUAUAUGGAUCCCAAGGUUUGAGCUUCAAGGAGAGGAAUGGGUUAUAUAGAGCUUGGUAGCUAGGUAGCUAGGAAGAGAAAAACUUACCAAGAACACAUAUAUAGUGAAUUGAUCAAGCUAGAAACAAGAUUAUUAUAUGAAUAAAACCAAGUGUUGGGUACAGAUAAGUAUUGAAGAAGAGAUCAUACUGAAGGAGGGAGCUAGAGGGAGACAAGCAACCAAGAAAAGUAAUGUAUGAGAGGGGGAAAAGGAAAGGAAAGGGUAGUGGGUAUGUAUAGAAUUUGACUGAUUGAUAGGUGGAGGAGAAGAGAGAGUAAAGGAGAGAAAAGGAGAGAGAGAGAGAGAGAGAGAGAGAGAGAGAGAGAGAGAGAGGGGGGGAGGGGGGAAGAUAUUCUUUGUAACAGUUAACUCAGUAUAAUAAUAUAUUUUAAAAUAAAUUUGUGCUAUUGUUUUUUAUCAAACCCUCAAUUAUCUUAUUCGACAAAAUAAAAUUAAAUAUUUGUUUUUGGAAUUUGCUAUUAAGCAAAUUUCUAUCCUAAAUCACUACUUGUAAUUAAUAUAUAUACAUAUAUAUUAUUAAUAUAUUAAAUAUCAAAAAAGUCAAAAAUAUCAAAUUUUUUUUUUAUAAACAUACCGGUUGAGAUUAAUAACUUAAUUUUCGACCAAUACUACACCAAUAGUUAUCAUAAAAUAAAACUUAUAGAAUACAUAUACAUAUAUAUUCUAGAGUAAUGCUAUCUGUACUCGUAAAGAUUAAGUGUAAGACUUACAUUCAACUUUUCCAACGGACGCUAUUAUUCUAUUAGGCUUAUUAAUUUUUUCAAUACUCUAUUCUGAAUUUUCAAAUAAAUAUAAUAUAAAAUUAUAUUUAUAUACAGGUAUAUAAAGAUAUAUAAAUAGUAUUUUUCUAUAUUCAAUAUGACACAUUUUUUUUAGAAUAAAAAUUAUCUAAAAAGUCACGAUACCUACUUAUAAGAAUUUGAUUUUUGAUACACGAGGUCACAAAUAUAAAAUUUAGUUCCUAUAUUUUUAUUCGAUAAAAAAGUAAAAAAAUAUAUAGAUAUAUUUUUUUAAGGGAAAAAAAGAAAAAAAGGGAGGAGAGAGAAAAAGAGUGGAGAUUGCGGUUGGGGAAGAGAAGAGGUGGGGGCCAUAACGUAGACAUCCACCUCGUGGGUGUGAUGGCAGGUUUCUGACGAUUCUCCUUCAAAAAUUGCACAAAAUGUCACCUCCGUGAGGAAAGGUGUGGCAUUAAUACCUACUACUACUACUACUACUACUACUACUACUACUACUACUCUGGAUCUCUUCUUUUCCUCGGCGCGAUGUACUCAAUUCCUCGGCUCCCACACCACAUGUGGAGGUGCCUAUAUAGUAAUUAAUUACUAAGUAGUUAGAUAAAGAUUAAAAGUUAAAUCAAUUUUGCAGUCCUAGUUUUGAUACAGAAGGACACGACAAGAGAAAUUUUUUUUUUUUGAGAAAAAAUAACAUGCUACCGUUCCAUUCAUUACGAAAAUGAACUCGGCUACAGAAUGAGGCAACCAAGGCCUCAAGAGGAAAAAAAAUGACUCUUCAGCAUGCAAGAGAAUGACAGCGAAUCCAGAGAUGCGAAAGAGAUCUAAUUUCAGCAUGCAAGGUCUCUAAUGAGUGUUUGGAAUGUACGAAGAUCCUUCGGUUCCGCUCAAGCCAAAUGACCCACGAGGUGGCAGCAAUAGUUGAAAGAUCUCUCCUACCCUCAGCUCCUCUCCGCCAAAAAUGUUGUUUCAUAUAGCUAGUUGUGCGGUGUAAAUCUUAUUAACAUGUUAUGUUAAAUCUCACCUCUCACAAAUUUAAAUUGCUGAGUAUUAAUAGGUGCAAUGCAUAAAUAGUGUUAAAAGAUAAUAUUUUAGUAAAUUUAAAGCAAGGACUCUAAUUUGGUCUGCUAGAAUUAAUGUUUAUUAACCUAACAAGGUAUUGACCGCUUCAUGACAUUUUUGGAUUAUGAUAAAAAGACUUCUAUUUUGUGUGUCGAAAUAUUAAUAAUAUAUAAAAGUAAUAUUGAUGAAAGAGAAAAUAAAGAGACAGAAAAAUCAAAAGAGAAUUUUCACGAGAAAAGUAUAAAAAAAAAGAAAAUAACAUAAGGGAGAAACACGGCACAAAUAAAACAAUACAAGGAACAAAUCAAACCCAUAAGAACCAAUGCCUAAGUUGGUAAGAUCAGCUUUAGCUACAUUAUUAUUAAUCUCCAUCUUAAUUUCAUUCCCCAGCUUAAUAAAAUGGUUACUGCAUGCAUUAUCAUUAAUUAACUAUAUAUAUAUUUUGGAAUCAUGCAUACACAACAAUAUAUUAAUUCAUGCCCUUACCUUUCUCUCAGGAGACACUCUAAUGCACCCAUGAGCCAAACAAAACGCUUGCAAACCUACACCAAACAAGAACAAAACAACUACUAACAACGCAGCACAAUCCCAUGUAGAACCACACUUCACAUUUCUCCUCAUAAAAUUCCUCAUCUUUACUUUCCACCUGCUAUGAUAAUACUCAUUCACAUCCUCCACAAGCUUAUCCAAUCUCGCGACCCUCGUUAGCCUUAUCGAUCUCGUCAUCCCGUUCCAUAGCUCCGCAACCGCUUUGUCGCUCUUCAAAUGGUUCAUUAUGAUCCCUUUCUCCCUCAAGAGUUUCACAUCCUCUUCUGUGUCUAUAAUUCCGUUCAUUAGUUCAAUGUAUCGCGCAAAGAACAGGGGCCUUGACCCUAUCGAUGCUUCGUAUGAAACCAAGUUACGUAACACGAUGUCGGUGUUCACGUCGAGACUAAUCACGGGUAAAUGAAGUGUAGCUUUAUCUACAUUGAACUCAAUUGUCGAGAGAUCACCUUUAGUAGGAGAUAGCUUUAUACCUGCGUAGGCUAGUUCGGCCACCGAAGGGAUCGCGAUCUCUUCGAGUAGCGGUGUCACACUUACAUUGCUUAUUUUGGGGGUUUGAUCCAUUUGGCAAAAGAGAGUUUCCUCAAUAGGGAUUUUUAUGAUUGAGAGUGGUGGAACGUUUGCGAGAACUCUCAACGGAAUUUUCACUACGAAUUUGAUGAUCACCGAUAAAAGUGCUCGAAUUCGGUCGAACACGUAGCUUGUUACCGCGAUCGUAAGCCGUUUGAUGCUACGAAUAAAUCUUUGCACUUCAUUUUCGUCGUGAUCAUCCUUCGGUGUGGUUUCAUAAGGUUCUUCGUGCUUCGGUACAAUGUUACAAUAGAGGAACUCUAACAAGUGUGCGUAUUGUGAGGUAUCGACGCAUGAAGGGUGCGCAAUCUUCUUGAAUGGCGAAAUUUCCCUUGAGAAUCCGACCAACAUCGACGAUAGAAAUUCUACGGCAGGUUCGGGUUGUGGGCAUUGGAUUUCCAUUAUCUUUUGGAGUAGAAAGAGAGGAAUCUGAUUCUCCUGCAUCACUAUGUCACAAAGAAUCAUGUUGUGUGCCGAUGUUCGGCGCGCGGUGUCCACUAAGUGGAUCAUCCUAGAGGGAAUCCUGUGCAUAGUUUUGCCAUGCUCAGUUGUGGUGUAGAUUUGAAGGAAUUCGAGAAGGAACGACGCGUCGAUUGCCAUCAUCCACGCGAGGGUUUCGCCGUUGAGAUUGAGGUACCUGUGAAUGGUGAAAUUGAAAUUGCCACAUUACUUCACAAUUUGGAACUUUAAAUGAUUGAUCAAUGCACAAUUUCAAAAAUAAUAUACUAUAUAUGGAGUUGAAAGCUACCAUUAUCUUAUAAGUUUAAAAAAGUGGGUUUCUUUUGGUAAAAAAGAGAGAUCCUAUAAAUUUAAAAUUUUGUAUUUUUACUCUUUUUUUUUUUAUUAUUAUUUACUUUUAAUUUUUUUUAAAAAAGCCUGGGCCACCUCAAGAAGCCCAAUAAGCCCAUUAUAAACUUUUUGGGCUGGAGCACAAGUGUUAUAUAUCAUUGUCUGGGCUGGUCCACCACAUCAUCAGCGGACCGCCCACUGCCUCAAAAAGAAUGCUUGAGCAUAGAUGCGAUUGGCGGGUCCACAGCUGACUUGGUAAACCACGUUCAUCUAGUAAUUUGGGCCGUACUUGGUUCAUCUCGGACCACUUUUAGCCCGUAUCCAUUCUUUGGACCUGGCCCAAAACUAAUUCCUAAUCAGGUCAGCUAGAACUCUCUGGUGGGCCAACUGAUGCGGCCAAUUUGCUUUAGAGUUCAUGGAAAAGCGCAACUCAACUAAGCUGGACCAAAAAUUUUAUUGAGUUCCGCAACUUUUCGCUCGGAUUUCUAUUUUCAGCGUGAUAUUCCAAUUCAGAAUACACUUUCUGAGAUCUAAAUGUUGACUCGCAAAACCAUCCUACCUGAGCUUGGGACCCAGAUUCACUUGUUUCAGCCUUCGAAUUUGUAUUUUUAAAUUAUUUUUGUGAAGUUUUCUAUAUUUUCUAUUUUGAGUCCGAUUUUUUUUUAAUUAUUUCUAUCAUUUUAGACUAAUAUAUAUAUAUAUAUAUAUAUAUAUAUAUAUAUAUAUAUAUAUAUAUAUAUAUAUUAUGAUUUAUUAUCUUCUGUCGUAAUACGAUUCGAAUAUCGACUCUAUACAAACGUAUCUUUCCGUUAAUAGAAUUAGUUUUUAGAAUUGAUUGAUAACAUGUUUCUCCAUGUCGAAGAGUUGUGUUCUUCGUGUCUCUCUUUUCGUCCUUUUGUCUUUUCCCUCUCAACGCUGCUUAGGCUUGCAUCACCUACUCUAGCCCAAUGGACUCUCUCGGGGUCUGGUCACGCAUGAGUCGAUUAGAGUAUCAGGCCCAUUGGAUCCUCGAGUCGUGACCCGAUCGCAACCGCGUAAUUGGGUCCAAAUGAUAUCUGUAGGAACUGGAACUCCAAGAUGAAGAAGCCACAAUAUAUGUUACCUGUGAUAGUGAGCCCGAAUCCGAAGCUCGAGCUUGCCGAAGAUGGUCACAAUUUGUCGAAAACUCGUGCUAGGGAGUUGGGCUUGGAUUCUGCGUGCCGCGGAGAUUUUGUACCUCUCCAUGUCCCGCAAUUCUUCUCGGCAAUGGUGGUACGGGCCGAUCGCGACGAGCUGAGGAACGUAGGCGUCGGGCUUGUUGCCAAGUAGAGGCUUCGGAACUUCGAAGAUUGAGAUAGGUUGAUCUUCGCCGACUUCGACCUCGUCGUCGUCGAUGAUUCGACGGAUUUGGAUCACCCAUCGGAGUUCAUCGAAAGGAUGGUUCCGAUUCAAGAACAUUUGGAGAGUAAUGUAAUUUUUGUUUACAGUGUGUGAGAUUGUUGAGAAAUGUUUGAGUAGUUUUGUUUAUUCUGGAGUGAAAGAAACUGAAAUCCUAGUUAAUUAUGCAUUAGUACAAGUGUACAAAAGUAACAAAACUAAGAAACUGAUCUUUGGAAAUUAACAUAAAUACAUAAAUUUUCCCUAUAAAUUCGCAUUAAUAAUGAAGCAGGUUUACAUUCAACAUCUAGAGUAAUGAAGUAGGAGUUAAAUGAGUUUUGUAAUACUAGAAUAAGAUUAUUACUCAUUAAUAAAUAUGUAUUGUCCAGUUUUAGACUCUUCUGUAUUAUUUGAUGAGAGACUGUUAGAUGCGACAGUUAUAUCAUAUUUAGAUUUCUGGUAAAUCUACUGUAGUGCGUCCGAAUCCUUUAUAUUACUUUGAAUCUUAUUACAAGCAAUAGAUCUAAUUUUCUAAAUCGAAAUCUAAAAUUUGGUAGGACCUGUGAAGUUUCUUUCAGCUUCUUGGUACCACCUUAGAAUGCUUCUUUGAGAAGCAAUUUUAAGUUACUUUUGAAGUGUGAUCAACCUUUCCAAACUUUUAUGGGUGGGGAAGCAUAAAGGGACUGACCAUAAUUCAAAGGUAAAAAAAAAGAAAAAAAGAAGAAAAAAAAAAAGGCAUGGACUUUUUUUGAAACCAUAGAUGGUAUGACACCAAGCAAUAUACCUAAAAAGGUCAUAAACAAACAAAUGUGUCACCCCAUUGACUAGAUUGGCCCAUUAAUUAAAUUAUAAGCAUCUUUGCUUGGUUUUAAAAAAAAAAAAAUUAAGGAAAAAAAGGAAAAAAGAAAAAGUUCCCUCAUUUAUCAUGUGAUGCACCUCACCUUUUCUUUUUCUUUUUCUUUUUCUUUUCUUUUCUUGGUUAAAAUUUCAUAAUUUAAUACCCUUUCAAUUACAGUCCAUUUUUGUUAUACACUCCUGACUAUAUAUAUNAUAAUUAGUCUGGAAUACUAUUAAUAGUAAAAUACUUUUUUUACUAUCAAGUUUUUAACUCUUGGAUGAAAAAUUGUAGGGUCGGGAUGAUAUUAGUCAAUUAGAGUUGAAUGGUCCCCCUAGUGUUGAGUGGUCCCCACUGGGUUAUAGUAUUUAAUCUAAUGGUUAGAAAUAAUGAAAAGAGUUGAUCCAAAGGCUAAAAAACUGGUAGCAAUAAUAGAAUUUUGCUACUAAUAGUAGCCCAGUCCAACUAUAUAUAUAUAUAUAUAUAUAUCAAUAUUUUUAAAUUUUACUUUUAACUAUCGGAGCUGGUUAAAGUGAGAAUUUUGUUAAAUUCAACAAUUAUACUAGCUAUUAGUUUGUUAAGUACCGGUAAAUUCAUUGUCCACUCAGCUAAAAAUAGUUAUUAUGAAAAUUUGAUAAAAUUCUAAAAUAAACAAAAUAAAAAUAGCUCAAAAUUGAGAAAUAUCAAAUAAUUUAAAAGAAAUUAGGGAUUAUUCCAAAGUAGCAUGUAGAUGAGUGGAUCUUCACUCUUUUAUUCUUUUUGGGGAUUAAUAUUUACUAUUAUGCAUCUUGUGAGUUAGAAGUAUCACAAGUUCUCUUUGCCUUCUCUCUCUCUCUCUCUCUCUCUCUCUCUCUCUCUCUCUCUCUCCACUUCAAAUAAUAAAGCAAAGAAAAGUUAGAAAAGUUACAAAGGAAUGUGCCAUGGCCUUUGAUGAAACUCACUUUUUCUUAUCCUCAUCAACAGUAAAGAUUAGGCUACAAACAAAUAUUGUGUCUCAACCAAAUCCAAAGCAGCAAUUAAUCAUGACCCACUUUGAUCUGAUCCAAUUCUGACUCAAUUUAUAUUUCAAAUUUUAAAUUUUUAGUUCAAAUUGGUUCAAGUUAUAGCCUCGUGACAGGUGAAAUAUGAAAAUGUUAGGUCAAUUUAGAUGUAGUUUGAAUUUUACAAGCUCAAUUUUAACCAAAUUUGACUAAAUAUUUUCACAAGCACUACAACUACACAUAAUGUUUAGAUACUAACUUUAACAACUUGCAUAAGUAGGAGAGAUGAUAGAUGAAGGCCUCUACUUAAACCAAUCUACAAAAUGUUGAUAUAGAUAUUGAAAACAUCGUUACAAUAACUUAAACUUUUAAAGAAUAAUAAUAAUCACACGUUAUUUAACAUGACAUUUGUAACACCAUAAUAGUUCCAUGUUGAAUAAAAAAAUAAUUCUAAUUGGAAUAUAAGAGAUCUCACACAUUAAUAAUAAUAAACUGGGUUUAAGUUCAUAUUUUGUACCGGUUUGGACCCAACGAGUUAUUAUUGCUAGCAGGUCAGAUCAUUAUAAUUAGUAUUAGAGAUAAAUACUAGCAGAAAAUGUAAGAGUUAGGCAAAGUGUGCUACACCAAUAGGUUUGGCUGCUAUACCAACGGGUCUUGAACUCGUACCACCGUUUGGUUGGGAGUUAAGGGGUGGAAUAACCCCUUAACCCCCAAUUUAUACCCAAACACCACUCUUAAGGGGUGGGGUUAGUAAACCCCACCCCAAACCGGGUUAGUGGGGUUUACUAACCCCACUCCCCCUCCCAACUUUAACCCCGCAGGCAUCCCGAGCCCUCACAUUUUUCUUCUUUAUCAAUCAUUAUCUUCUUAUCCCACCUACUCCAACCAAACACUUUUUUUCACUAUUCUAGACUAACUCCAACCUUCAACCAAACACAAAAAAAUUUUAACAUCAUUUUAACCAUGAACUUAACCCUAUCCCUGGAAUAGCUAUUUUUUCUUAACCCCGAACCAAACGGUGGCGUAGGAGCUAGUCAUUUUUAGAAUCUUAUAUCACCUGAUAAUUCUAGUAUAUAUUGUCUUGGCUGCUACACCAAUGGGUCUUGAACUCGUAGAAGUCAACUCUAGAAUCUUACAUCAUUAGAUUAUUCUGGUAUAUAUCGUCUAUUCUGCAUAAUGCUCUAAUAGUACAGAAAAAUGAUUGGAUGAGUUUGUAACGCACAAAUAAUCCAAUGAAAAAAUAAUUUUGGUUGAAAUAUAUGAGACAUGACACGCGAAUAAUAAUAAACUGAGCUUAAGUAUUUUUGGCGAUUAGAUUAUUUGGGCAACAACAUUAGAGCAGAGCAUCACAAUUUUAUAAGGCACAUUCUUAUAGAAUUUUUCGUCCUCGUAAAUGAACUGUAGUUGCGUAAUAGGGGAGACUUUAAUAGAAAAGGGUUAUCUCCGUGUUAGGUCACCGACAAAUUAACAAGCAUCAUGCAACUUUUUUUUUUCUCUCUCUCUCUCUCUAUUUUUUUUUUCUUAUAUAUAUANUAUAUAUAUAUAUAUAUAUAUAUAUAUAUUCUUUCAAACUCUUUUCUACUUCUUAUCCAUGUAAAACUAUUCCAAGAUUCAAUCACCCUCUACUUUCCUUUUUUCUUUUUUUCCCUUUUUUUUUCGUUUUUGGUAUUGAUGUGUAGAAGCACGUGGCUUUAAAUUCUUUUAUCUUAUUUUUAACUAGGAUGGUAUAAACUAAUAAAAGAAACGUAAGUACGAGAAAAUAUACACCAGAUCUUUUCUUAAACCAAAAAAGAAAAAUAGAUAGUUGUCUACAGACUAGGUUCUUUUAAAUUCGAUUAUAGAUGCUAUGAAAUAAAAUUUUACACCUUUUACGUCAAGGUGUUAACGAAAACAGAAAAAAAUAGUAUCACCAUUUAUCAAAAAACGUUAUAACAAAUUAUAAAUUUUACUGUUUAAACUCUCUAUAAUUAGUUAUAAUUUAUAAAUAAUCCUGGUCCGUAAGCAAGGUCCACGCAUUAAAAUAUUCAAACAAAAUAAUCAUAUACUUUUUUUUUUUUUCAUUUUUUGCGUCUCACCGACCAAAUAUUAUUUUGGGGCUCGAAACGUUUACAUGUGCCGUGCCGACCAGGUCUUGUGACCGUAACAGAAACAAUUCCAAAAAUAUUUAUUUAAUAUUUUUUUCCAAAACAAAAAAAAAAUUUCCUAAAUUUUGGACCACGUUAAAACAUGCAUGUAUUGACCCAACCAAUUGGACCUUAAAAAAGAUAAUAUAUAAGUUAAAAAAGGGAUGAAAUGUUUGCAUGAUCCAUCUACUAUUCCUAUAUGACAACUUGGUACUUAAUUGCACUUUCGAUUUAAAUAAUUAGGUUAAUUUUAUACAGGUCCCUACAAAUAUAGUGAAUUAUAAAUAUAUUCCUAUAAAGUUCAACUUUUAUAUGUUAUUCCUGCAAAGGUUCUAAUAUUUUCAAAUAUAUCAUUCGGAUUUGUUACCGUUAAAAUACUAUUUAUUUUAUAAGUGAAAUGACCUUUUUACCAUCACAAAUAUAUCCCUCCAAAAGUUUCAAUUAUUAAUUAAAGAGGGAUAAAAAUGUCAAUUCAUCUCAUUAACUAAUUAGGGUUAAGCAUUUUACUUAUGAUUAACUAAUUUUUUCUAACGGAUUCUAAUGACAGAGACAUAUUUGAAAAUAUCAUAAUUUUUGCAGGGACAACAUAUAAAAGUUGAAUUCUGUAGGAAUAUAUUUAUAAUUCACUAUAUUUAUAGGGACAUGUAUGAAAUUAAUCCUAAAUAAUUUAUAUCCGAACUUUGACAUACACUCGUCGGGCGCAAUAUCGAGAUUGUAGAGGGACUAUGUACACAUUUUGUGCUUUUAAAAGGACAUGGAAGUGAAUCUUGUGGAGCCAAAUAAGAUAUCCUAUUCAGACCAAACCGGCCUAGCUAAUUGGAUAGCAAUUUGAGUCAAAAUCAUAGCCUCAUUUUUAGGGCUUAUUCAAUUUAAAAUAGCGUUACUCUCUACCCUUGGCCACAAAAAAGUGUCACAAUAUUGUUUUCAGUCUCCUAAGGGGAGGCCAUGAUAGAAUUUAUGUAUUAAAAAAAAUAAAGGAUAAAAAGAUGCUCACCUUGAUCCGAGUAUGUGGAGUUGUUUUCGAUUAUAUGAUCCUAACUUGGUGUAACACCACGUUAAAUUGCGCUAAAUAAUUAAGUAUAUAUUCAUGCAUACAAGGUUUCACGAAUAUUAUUGUCACAUCUAUAGUUUGAAAAUGUGAUCAGGAGUCGCUAUUUUGAGAGCUUAGACUUUGUAUCAUUAGGUCGUUUUGGAAUAGAUUGAACAAAAGCGAUGGAGUUUAUGUUGAAAUUUUAUAAAAAACUAAGAUUGUACCUUUUAUCAUGAUUUCGAUUUCUGUACCCGAAUUAUUGACGGUGAUUCUUUCUUGUAGUUCGUCCUCGUUUGCGAUCUGCAAAGUAGCAAAACGUUUCGAGUCUAAUUCUCUUAUCCUCGGAGAUGGAGCCGUCACAGACAAUUGGAUUAGGGUUAGACCGGGACUCCCGUAUGUUACAUAUUUAUAUAUAACCUAAUCAUAAGAUCUAUCGUAUCUUUAUAGAUCGACUUAAAUAGAUUGACUGUAUCUAUAUGGAUCGCCUUAAAUAUAUAUCACGUGGGCCACAUCCAACAGUUUACCAAUAUCUUUUAAAAGAUUCGUCGAAAAGAAGUAUAAUUUCGACUUGCUUAUUAUCUGAAAAUAAAAGCUUGUUUUCGGCCUCGAUGUUGUUUUUAUUUUUCGAUUAAAGUAACUAUUCUCAUUUUUGUUACAUGCCUACACUGAUACACUCUUCAAAUAAAGACAUUGUGUUUCCUUUUUCUUGAAUUAUUGUUAUAUAUUUUAAUUAGAAAUGACUCUCCACAAUUUGAGUUUCUUUUUUUGUUUUUUAAAAAAUGGUGUUCUUGAGAAAGCAUAUAUUGAAAAAAGAGCAUAUAUUGAAAAAAGAGGAUCUCCAAACUUAGUCAUUAUAUAUUGAUUGAAUUUGACAAUAUCUGAUAAAUAUAGUUUGCCCAUAAUAAAAUGAAUCAGUUAGUUCAAAAUCUAGUUGUUUUAUAUUUUCUGCUAGGCUCAUUUGAAAAUGUUGUUGUUUGAUUUGCUCUUAUACCAAUUGUUGGAACUAGUAUUUGUGCUGAUACCAAUUAUAUAACUUAAGAUGUAAAAUCGAAUAAAAUAAUAUGGAGUAGAGAUAUUGGAGGAGGAAGAAAAUAACUAAACUAAUACUUUAUUAAUAAAAGGCAAAAUUACAUUCUGAUACCAAUUGUUAGAAGCGUAAUUUUCUCUAAUACCACUUGUUGUUGUUUGAUUUGCUCUAAUACCAUUUGUUGGAACGAAAGAAGUAUAAAACUAAAUCUUUAUUAAAUAUUCUUAGACUAAAUUUCUAUGGUGGAUAAUUUUUCACACAUUUAUAGCCGUCUAUAUACAGGCAUAAAUCAAAAUUCUAAUAACAAUAAUUAAACAAGAUUUAAACUUAUCUCUUAUGUCUAACCAACAAAAUAUUAAGAGAUAAACUUGACAGAAAUAAAUCUAAAUUAAUAAAAAAUAUUGGGUUACUUAUCAACAGAAAAAGAAAAAAGAAAAAAGAAUGAAGCGAAAAGCAUAUUACCUUUUUCUUUCUAAAAAAAAAAUGAAUCAAUUAAUAUCAUUAAUUUCCAAAAAUGAAAGAAAAAACCUAACUAUAUAAUUGCACUAAUAAUAGGCAAUUUUACUCUAAUUUGUGUGGCUUUGAACUUUCUCUAAUUCCUCAUUUCUCUUCCCUUCUAGUGGGGCUCUAUGCAACUAAAUAUAAAUUAAUUGCAUCAACCCCACCUGAUCCCUUGUGUUUUCACAAUAAAAGGAGACAUCAAAUGUGGGGUUUCUCCACUUUCUUGUUUUUUUUUUUCACUUUUUUUGUUUUUUCUUUUUAAACUUUUUUUUUUUUCUUUUAAUGGUCCCCUCCUCAUUAUUAACACUAUUUAAAUUUAAAAGUAUUGCAGGGAUAUGUAACCCUUUGUUAGAGAACCAACCAUUUUGUUUAUUUCCUUAACUCCUUUCUUUCUUUAUCUUUUCUCUCAUUCAAUGAUUGUUUGCCAAAUCUUAACAACAUAUGGUUUAGUUUCUUAGCAAUGAAGAUAAUGACCAACUCCACCAACUAUUAAUUCUAGAGUAUUAAAUUAUUUUAACACAUCGUUUAAGGCAUAAAUGUUUAAAAUUAAGUAGGUGAAUCUCUCUCUCUCUCUCUCUCUCUCUCACACUCACACACACACACACACACAUUUAAAAGCUUAAAGGAUUUAUCAAAACUCAAACACAAGGCUUUUUAUGGUAAUAUAUACUAUAUUAACAAAAAUGUAAAAAUUUAUGAAUGAUUUUGCGUGAAUUAUUGUUUGUUGUUCAUUAGCGAAAAUAGUUAUCGCUUUUGUUCGAAGACUCUGCAUCAAUACUUUUGUAUGAAUUUUUAGUAUACCAUCAAAGUAUUGAUAAAGAGUUCGCUACAUAAUAAGGCUUACUUUAAUUAGAUCUUAUUGAAAAAUAUUAGGUAGAAACUAAUUAAGCUCUUUUAUUAUUAUUAUUAUUAUCAAUCCAUUAACUUGCCAACUCCCAUUAUGAUGAGAUCAUAAGUAAAACAAGAUCCUGGACAAAAGAAUAUACUUUGGUUUCAGUUUUCAACCUCCAUUAUUAAAGUUCACCAAUUUAUUGUACUUGAUGGUCAGCUUCUAGAAACAUCUAUGUUACUCUACCUAUUUUAUUACUUAGUACUCUUAACUCCACAGUACUAUAUCCAUUGGAUUCUUCUAUAGUUUUUUUUUUCAAAAAAAUCUCAUUAGAACUUUUUGUAAAUUAAUUUUCUAUUUGAAUAAAAUUAUUUGAUAAUUUUAAAUAAAUAUCUUAAUAUUAUUAGUUAUUGUAGGAAUAAAUGCUUACAAUCACAAUUAACAUAGCCAAUAUGAUUAACGCAGUCAAUCAAAAAUCGGUUAAUAAUUUUAGAAAUUAAUACCAAUAAUGAUGUUUUAUAUCGUCAUAUAAAAAAUUUUCUCUUUUUGAGCAUCACUCCAGAUAUCUUAGAAUAUUAUGUUUAUAGAUUGUUGUUGUAUUGAUAUAGAUAAUGUACGUUUUUUUUAUUAUUUUAUGCAUUUUGCUUUUUUUUUUUUUUUUUUUUUUUCUUGGAGAAACAAUGUAUUCACUUAUCACCAGAACACCUAACUCACUGAAAAAGAAAAAGAAAAAAUCCUAUAUUUUUCCUUGUUCUAUUCCGGUGGUGUUGCAUGGACCUACAACUAUAUAUUAUGCAGGGGAGAAACAAAACUACUGAAAUAAGAGAGAGGAGAGAGAGAGAGAGAAAAAAGUCUACACAACUAAAAUCAUCUUCCUCCCUCCCCCUCCCCUUCUCUCUCUCUCUCUCUCCUCUCUCUCUCUCUCUCUCUGUUGUUUGUGUUUGUGUUUGUGUUUGUGUUUUGUUUGUGUAUGUAUGUUUGUGAUUUGAGUGUAUACCAAUCCCAUAUUUUUCUUCUGGGAUCCUUUUAUUUUACACCAUAAAACUAAAAAAAAUUUAGAAAAAAAGGGAAAAAAUCGCAUAAAAAUCCGACCUUUCUCGCUCUUUUUGCUACUCUCUGAUCUUAAAAUUCAGGAAAAGGAAAAAAAAAUCGAAUAAAAAUCCGACCUUUCUCACUUUUUUUGCUACUCUCCGAUCUCAAAAUUCAGAAAAAAAUUGAAUAAAAAAUCGACCUCUCUGAUCUUUUUCCUAUAACACCCUAACCCUAGAUCGAAGAUCAGGGCCUUUCUCUCCUGGGUUUCGAGUUCGAGGGUUCUAAAAGCAUGGCGCGGCUCGAAGAAUCCGUCCCUAGUUAUGGAUUUGCGAAUUUGAGUAAAAGCUUCUCAGGUUGGGUUUCAUUUCGAUUUGUUUUAGAGCUAAUUUUGGUGUAUUAGUUCUCUAGAUCUACUAUUGCGGCUAAAUUUGAUAAACAGUUUGGUUUUCUUUUUUGAUUAAUUUGGAAUUGUACUGGUUGGAUUGGAUCCGUAAGAAGGUUUAAAUUUUUGUUUUUACUGUGAUUUUUUUCUCCUGUUUCCCCAAAAAGCUUGCUUUUUUAUUGUUCUGUGUUUGUGUUUUCAACAGUAUAGAUAAUUAAUAAAUAUUCAUGUAUCCCCUCAACUACAGGUGAUUCUGAAGCGAAUCCCUUACUAUUUUUUAUGUUUUUUUUUUUUUUUAAAUUUACACCUCUUCAACUUUUGGUUCUUUUGAUUUAUUAAAUUAGAGAUUCUGUCGAAAGUAGCGAUUAUUAUUCAGUUAAAUUUAACUAUAUUGAGCAUUUUUCAGCUAAUGGAACUGUAGAUUCGUGUAAUAUCUAACAUUAAUUUUAGCAAAUCCCAAUUUAUUUUAGGAAAAGUAACUCAAAAGCAAAAUAAUUAGCAACUGCGGAGGUAUCAGCUAAGAAAAAUAGUUGAGUGGUACGUUUCAAAAAAAUCCUCUGUGUGAUUGUAUUCUAUAAUGAGCUUUUAAUUAAUCUUAUCAGUAUAAUGCAAAGUGUUAGUGUUCCUGGCCUUGGAAUUUUAGUUUUGGCAUCUGAUCUUAUCUAAUGGAUUUCUUGUUCUCCUUUACAGAUGCCGCUCAAUUCGAUGCUUCGCAGUAUGAGUUUUUCGGCAAGGAUGUCGCGGAGGAAGUUGAGCUGGGCGGAUUGGACGAUGCUGCCGAUGGCCGGGAUGGUGCUCUUGGUGAUGAAGAGGAUCAAUUUUCUUAUCUUGGGGAUAGAGCAGAGGUUAAUCUCUUGGCCUGCUGAUCUGCGCACAAAUUUAAGAGCUCUGGCACUAGAGAUCUAAAUUUAAGAUCAUUUUGGAACGAUCUCUGCUUUAGAGAGUAUAAACUAAUGAGAUGUUGUUCGUCGAAGAGAAGUGGUGGUACAAGGCACCAUUGUAACACCUUUGAGUUAAAGGAUUGAUUUUUUUGAAUAAUUGUUUCCUAUUUCUGCACCCUCUCCCCCGAAGCCCCCGUCGCUCGCGUGCUUGCUUUCUUUCUUUGAUUGAACAUUCAUGAAUUUGUUACCUAAGAGCUGACCGGUCGAUUAACUUUUUUUGCUUUGGCUAAAUUUUCAGGACGAAGUUUUAGGCUCUUUGUCUGAUGUUGACGACCUCGUAAGCACGUUCUCAAAGGUCAGUUUUUCUGAAUAUUUUGUGUCAUAUGUUAAUGCAAAUGUACGCUUUAUAGUUUUCGAAAUUUGUCUUCUUCAUGUUUAUGGUUCGUACUUCGGCACAACAUAGGAAAGCUGUGUUCUUUUUACAUUAUUCAUUAACUUAAUAGUAUAUUAUGAGUUUUCAAACUUCAUCAACUUGGUUAGAGAUGAGACCGAAGCUUGUUUUCCUUAAGCCAGAGCUUGAAUUUUCUAAAUUUUGGCUUGAUAGAUCCUUCUAUUUAAAUUCUCGAGCUUUUCAUUAAUGGACUAGUUUAUUUGUCUCUUUCAGUUGAACAAAAUUGUUAGCGAACCAAAGCGCACGGCGGUACUCGGUCACAGAGGAUCAUUUUCUAGAGAAAGUGAGUAGUACAAUUUUGCUCGAGUCUAUUAUCUUCGCCUUUUUUAACGUUUGGAAAACUACCAUGUGGCUCCUUUUCUCGUGGGUAAAAUUCUAUAGUUAGUAACGCAUAACAUGCUUUAAGCUUAACAUCUGUCUUUAUGCAUGUUUAUUGUUUCAUUAAUCUGUUUAUUAAACUGAUUUUCAUUCCUUGCUUGAUCACAACUUAAAUUGUUGGUUUAGGUUCUACUGCUACGGACUGGGCACUGGAGCCGGGCUUUUCCAACUGGCUCGAUCAGCAAAUAUUAGGCGCUGAUAACGCCCAGGAUGGGAAACGAUGGUGGUCUCAGCCACACCCUUCAUCUUCUUCAGCUCACUUUCGACAACGCCGGCCUUUGUACAGAACAUCUUCUUCCCCUCAACAGCAGCAACUAUACGAUCCAAAUGAGCCCAUUCCUGUACCCAAGUCACCUUAUAAUUUGUAUCCUCCGCGUCAAGAGCUACCCCAAACUUCUCCAAAUAACUUGCACCACAGAAAUAUCCGGUCACCUCCGCAGAGAUAUCCUUCCCUUUCUUCUCAGAUCUCUUUGGCGGGAAUACCUCGUGGGCCGCACUAUGGAGGACACCAACUAGGCUCGGCAUACUAUACCCCUUUCUUGCCCAAUUUGAUGCAGCAACAGAACAGUUUAAUGCCGCCUCAGUUGUUGCUGGCACGACAGCAAAUUCGGUUUAACCAAGUUCAACCGUAUUUACCGCACUUGAAUUCUCCGCCAGAGACGAUGAAUAGGUUCUCUCCGAUGCAUGGCAUGGCCGAAAUGAGUGAUCCACGAGCCAAAUCAAGACAAGUUGGUAAUGGGCGGCCUCGAUUUCAGUCUAAAUACAUGUCGGCUGAAGAGAUUGAAAGCAUUUCGAGGAUUCAACAAGCUGCUACUCACAGCAGUGACCCGUACAUUGACGAUUACUACCACCAAGCUUGUUUAGCCAAGAAAGCCUCAAAUUCGGAAACGGCACAUUAUUUUUGCCCAAAUAUUACUAAAAGUAAUUCUUCUCAAUCUCGGGGUAAGGACGAUCCCCAACCGUAUCUUCAUAUAGAUGGUCUUGGUCGGCUUCCCUUCUCUUCGAUUAAAAGGCCUCGCCCUCUUCUUGAAGUCGAUCCCUUCUCUUUAUCUGUUGAAAAUAAAUGUUCUAUGAAGCCUCUCGAGCAAGAGGCAAUGCUAGUAGCGAGGAUCAUUAUUGAAAACGGCUUUGCCCUUCUCCUCGACAUAGACGAUAUCAAUCGAUUGCUGCAAUUCACCCAGCCGCAAGAUGGUGGUUCCCAACUGAGAAAAAGAAAACAGCUCCUGCUAGAAGCCCUGGCUGCGUCGCUACAUUUAGUUGACCCGUUCGCCGCUGGUAAAGCAAUGAAUUCUGUGGGACUAACCCCAAACGACGACCUUUUGUUCCUUCGAUUGGUUUCUCUCCCUAAAGGUCGGAAGCUUCUUUCUCAAUACCUUUGCCUUCUGACACCGGGCAGCGACAUUGCUCGCAUAGUUUGUAUGGCUAUUUUCCGCCAUUUAAGGUUUUUAUUCGGCAGUUUACCCUCCGAUUCUGGUGCGGCCGAAACCACGAGAAAUCUCGCGAGUGCUGCGUCUACUUGUAUUCGUGGUAUGGAUCUUAAAUCCCUAAGCGCUUGCCUAGCAGCCGUCGUGUGCUCCUCCGAACAGCCGCCCCUCAGGCCGCUCGGAAGUGCUUCCGGUGACGGGGCUUCAGUUGUUAUCAUAUCCACUCUAGAGAGAGCGACCGAACUUUUAACAAAUUACCAUGCUGCUGCCGAUUACAGCGCACAAAACCGGGUUUUGUGGCAGGCGUCAUUUGAUGCUUUCUUUGGGCUUCUCACAGACUACUGCAAGAGUAAAUACGACUCCAUUAUGCAAUCCUUGGCUGUUCAGAAUCCCUAUGGCGCUGACGUUGGCUCCGAGGUAGCAAAAGCCGUUAGCAGGGAGAUCCCUGUCGAGCUUCUGUGGGUGAGCCUUCCUCAUACCAACGAGCAGCAGCGUAAGCUGUUACUCGAUUUUGCUCGGCGUUCGAUGCCUGUCACUGCAUAUAAUGCUCCCGAGGCAGGUAACGGACCGAUAACUCCCGAGUCGGUGCAUGGUUAGUUCACCCUAGGUGGUACGGUGAUUGCGAACGAAAGGACAAAAAAAAAAAAAAAAAAGNAUGGUUUGGUAAAAAUAUAAGCAAGUUGUAGAGAGGAUGGAACGUAACGAGUGAUAAUAGAACCGAGGGCAACCUUUUCCCGCACAAAGUGAUAGUCGAUCUCAAUAUCCUUGGUUUGAGCAUGAAAGACUAGAUUAGUUGUGAGAUGCAAAGCAGAUAUGUUGUCGAAAAAAAGUAGGGAAGGUCGAGGUUGAGAAAUGCCAAUAUCACGUAAAAUAUGCGAGAUCCACGUGAGUUCAGCAGUUGCUGAGGCGAGGGCCCGGUAUUCGGCCUCGGCCGUGGAUCGAGACACAGUAGGCUGCUUCUUUGCGCACCAAGAAAUACAAUUAGAACCAAGAAAAGAACAAUAACCUGUAGUAGAUCGACGCGUAAGUUUGCAUCCUGCCCAGUCCGCAUCAGCAAAGGCGAAUAAGUCCAGCGAGCUACGAGCUAGGAUGCGAAGCCCUAGAUGUAGACUUCCCCGUAAAUAUCGGAGUAUCCGCUUUACUAAUUAGUAAUUGGCAUUAGUAGGAGCAUGCAUAUGCUGACAGGCGACAUUGACCGCGAGUGAGAGAUCCGGGCGAGUAAUGGUGAGAUAUUGAAGAGCACCGACAACGCUUCGAUAGUGCGAGGGGUCACUAUAUAGUUUGUCUCCUUCCUUAAGUGGAGGUGGUUUAGAGGUCAUAGGGGUGGCAAUGGGCUUGCAUUGCUCCAUAGAAGCCCGAGUUAAGAUAUCAGAAGCGUAUUUUCGUUGUGAGAGAAAUAAACCAUUUGAAGAGCAGUGUACUUCAAUUCCCAAGAAGAAAUGUAGAGAACCCAAAUCUUUCAUAGGAAAAACCUGACCAAGAGCAAAAAUAAGUCGAUCUAAAAGUUGGUGCGAGUCACCUGUGAGAACAAUAUCAUCCACAUAGAGAAGUAGAAUAAUAGUAUGAUUGUCAUGACGAUAGAUAAAUAAUGAUGGAUCGAAGAUACUACAAACGAACCCAUAACCAAUCAGAAAGUCACUGAAUUUGUCGAACCAUGCCCGAGGAGCUUGCUUGAGCCCAUACAGUGCGCGCCGAAGUAAACAGACAUGAUCGGGAUAAGUCGGGCCACGAAAACCAAGUGGUUGCUCCAUAUAAACCGGCACUACGAGGUCGCCAUGUAAGAAAGCGUUUUUAACGUCCAAUUGACGAAUCGGCCAAUGUCGAACAGUAGCUAUAGUGAGUACGAUACGAAUAGUACCCGGCUUUACGACCGGACUGAAUGUCUCAAGAAAGUCGACCCCCUCUCCUGAUGGAAGCCCUUGGCCACAAGGUGGGCUUUAAGUCGAUCUAGUGACCCAUCCGCAUGGAGUUUUGUCUUGAAGACCCAUUUACAUCCGAUGACAUUCAUCGAGGGACACCGUGGAACAAGCUGCCAUGUUCUAUUUGUUGCAAGAGCGUCCAAUUCCUCACGCAUCACUGCUGUCCACCCAGAGUGCUUAAGAGCCGAUUGGACAGUGUGCGGUUCGAGAGGAAUUGAUGAUAGGGCAAGAUUAGCAUACCGUGGGUUAGGCUUGAAAAUUCCGAUCUUGGAGCGGGUCACCAUAGGAUGCAUAGAGGAAGUGGCCACUUCUGUCGCAGGUGGUGCGGCAUCGACUGGAGGCAUAGACGAAGAGCUGGGAAGAUCAGCAGGUUGCAAGUUUGUUGUAGUAGUUGUAACCUCAUCGGAGAAUAAUCGAGCAACUUCUCUUGAGUCAGUUGAAUCAAAUAGAGAAGUUCGGCUAGAUUGAGUAGAGUCAGUAGAGCCGAGAGUGGAGCCCCAAUGCAAGAGAUCCCCGAUAGAAGUAGCAGCGAUCUGAGAGGAAGUAGCAAAUGGAAAGUAAUGUUCAUCAAAAAUAACAUGUCGAGAAAUAUAGAUACGACCGGUAGAUCGAUGAAGACAGCGAUAACCCUUGUGUUUCUCACUGUAGCCUAAAAAGACACAAGGCAAUGAUCGUUUGUCGAAUUUAUUCACCAUAUAACUGCGAAGAUAUGGAAAGCAACAAGAUCCAAAAGUACGAAGAUGUGAAUAGUCGGGAUCCUUUUUGAAAAGAACUGAAUAUGGACUUUUCUUGCCUAGUGCUGCAGACGGAAGCCGAUUGAUCAAAUAAUUAAUAGUGGUGAAUGCCUCCACCCAGUAGCAGUAGGGCAUUGAGGCCUCAAAUAGUGCAGCGAGUCCAAGUUCCACAAUGUGGCGAUGCUUCCUUUCUGCAACACCAUUCUGUUCUGGUGUGCUCGGACAUGAAAGUUGGUGUUGGAUGCCGCAAUUGCGAAGAUGAGAAAGAAAGGCAUUACUAAUGAAUUCACCCCCGCCAUCCGAUUGAAAAAUUUUAAUUUUUCUUUCAAAUUGAUUUUCAACCAAUUUUUGAAAGGUGAGAAAAAUAUCCAAAAAAUCUGAUUUGCGCUUCAAUGGAUAUAACCAACAGUAACGAGAAAAAUCAUCAAUAAAUACUACGUAAUAUCGAAACUGUUGCAUUGAAGAUACCGGCGCUGGUCCCCAAAUAUCACAAUGUAAUUUAUUCAAAGGAAAAGAACAUCGAGAAUUAGAUAUAUAGAAUGGUAAUUUUGAACUUUUGCUGAUCUGACAGCUUGUACACAAAGUGCCAGAAGACUUAGCUACUGAAAUUAAAUUAUUACUCCGCAAAUGCUGCAAGAUUUGGCUAUUCGGAUGGCCCAAUCGACGAUGCCAAGUGAGUUCAUCGGUCGCCUUAUUUCGCUGAGAGAAGAAGGCUGCAAGCUGCGGAUCUUUAUUGGUGUACAACCCUUGAUGAUUAUUUCCUGUCAUUAAUACUUGGUGUGUCUUGGAAUCCUUAAUAGAAAAACCAGAUGCAUCAAAUUUAAAAUAACAGGGAUGAUCUGUUGUCAAUUUGGAAACAGAGAGAAGAUUUUUCUUCAUUUGCGGGACAACCAGGACAUUAGAAAGCGAAAAGCGAUGAAUACCAUUACCAAAAGAGCCCGUACCCACAUGAGUAAUCGGUAGGGAAGUUCCAUCUCCUACUAUCACACUAUCAGAUCCAGAAUAAGGAACCAAGUUAGUAAGGUUACCUGGCUUAUCUGUGAUAUGAGCAUUGGCACCAGUGUCGGGAUGCCAUUCAUCAUCAUGCACAUCAGUGAUAUGGAGAGAAGCUAGACCACGGGGAAUGUCGUCACUUUGAUAGCUGUUAUCGAAUCGAAACCAGCAUCGCAGAGCAUCAUGGCCUCGCUUUUUACAAAUUUGACAAGUGAGAGGAUUGUUGCCAGUAGAGGAAGUCAAGGCUGCACGAUCAGCCCCAGGCGGCGGGGUAGAUUGAUAGCCCUCUGAUCUGCCACCUUGGGUCGUCUGAGGAAAACCCCGGCCUCGAGAGUUGAAGUUAUGGCCUCUACCUCGGCCUCUGUGCCGGUUGCUUCCGCGUCCCCGUUGUGACACAAAAGCCAUAGACACAUCAGGAGCUGGGCUUGAGUGUCGCUUGAUUCGUAAUUCAUAGCUUUGGAGUUGGGGAACCACCUCUGUAUAUAGCGGAAUAGGAGGUCGGAACAUAGUCGUCUUGAAUGGCUCAUAGCUUUCAUCGAGCCCUUCUAAUAACCUGAAAACUUUGGUAGAAUCCGAAACAGGUUUGCCAAUAGCAUGCAGUUGAUCACAAAUUGAUUUAAAAUUACGAAGGUAAGUAGGUAAAGGAUUAUUUCCUUUCCUGAUGUGUUGCAGCUGUGCGAGUAGGUCGAAUUCACGGGCGAUCGAGCUCUGCUUGAAGUGGUUGGUUAAUGCUGUCCACACUUCAGCUGCAGUUUGAAGACCGACGGCAUGGCCGAGAACCUCUUCGGAGAGAGUGCCCACGAUCCAUGAUUUCACAAGGCGAUCGGUCCGUACCCAAGAUGUGUAGUCUGGGUUGUUGACGGUGGCUCCACUUUCUGAAGUCGACAUCUUAGGUGGUGCGAUAGUCUCCCCCAUGAGGAAACCAAGUAAGUCCUGACUUUCGAUCAGUGACACUACUUGUGUUUCCCAGAGCAGAUAGUUGUUGUCAUUGAGCUUCAAUGUGACGAAAUUUGCCACAUUAAUGGUGGAGGGAAAGGGAAAUUUCGGGUUAGCUAAGGAUGCCAUUUUUUUUUUUUUUUUAAGAUCUUUGGUGCCUUAGCGUGGCUCUGAUACCAUAAAGAAAUUGGAAGCUUACACACUUCAUUAAUGUCCGAUUGAGAAACUUAUACAAAUAAAGGAGAACUUCUCACACUUAUUGUGGAGGAGGUUACUCCUAUAUUGUGGAGGAGGUUACAACCAUACACUCUCAAGAAUACAAAUUUAUAAAUUCGAAAACUAUCAAGUUGUGAUUGGUGCAGUUGGAUCGUUUGGUGUGGUUCGGUUGUCCUCUUGAUUCCGAAUUGAUUUUGAUUUAGUAAGUUGGUUGAACUGGCUCAAUGUGGUUUGAUUUGAUGCUUCAAUAAUUGGAGCUUAUAAAGGGAUGUAUUUGUAAAGAUAAAAAUAUUAUUUCACUUAUUUGCUGUUAAAAAAUAAAUAGUGCUCUAACGGUAACAAACCAGAGGGACAAAUAUGAAAUCACUGGACUUUUGUACGGAUAAAAAUAAAAAAAUAAACUUUUAGAGAUAUAGUAAUUUACUAUUCGAUAUGUUUACAGAGAACUAUAUGAAAUUACCCCAAGAAUUUAUGUGGAAGUUAGGAUCGCAAUCCAAGGACCGCCCACGAGUCAAACUUUCUGAUUUCGUAGAAAAUAUUUUUUUCUUGAAAAAGUAAACUUGGCUGCAUAUUUCUUAUUUAAAGGCAUAUCAAUCAAAAAAAGAUAGUAUAAAUGAAAUGCAUGUCCUUUUUGAUUCUAUAUGUCACCUUAUUGUGCCAAAAGCCAAAAUUCUCCUUAACAUGGACCAUACAACCAAGGGUGCAAAAAAAAAGUAAAAGGCAUAUUUGGUGACUACUAGCUUGAUAACAUAUAAGCAUUCUAGGAGGUGCUUAUUGCUUCAAUAAGCAUCCCUAAAGGAGAGCAAUUUGGUGGAGAGAGAGAGAGAGAGAUAGAGAGAGAGAGAGAGAGAGACAUAUUCCUAUUGAAUAAAUAAGAUAAAACUUUAGUGGAGAGCUCCACAACGACGUCUCGUUAGAGAGUCCUCGAUCUACUGCCACAUGUUAGUUUUGCCUUCAAUUCAAGAUUUUGUUGCGUGCUUUAUAGUACUCACACUACAAGGUUUGCAAUUGUAAUUGUUACAAAUAAAUAAUUGGUAAAUUAUAGGCCGCUUUGAGGUGGCACCCUCAAUUUUGUUUUGUUACAUGAUAUAUAUAUUUUACUUGCUGAUCAGUUAUUUUAGUCAAUUAAAAUGGAGAAUUUACCCAAAUCAUUAAUUAGCAUUCCGUGGAUCUGAAAGCAUUAAUUAAUCACUUUCUAACGAAUAAAAUUAAUGACUAACUAGCUAAAAAAGCCAUUACUAUAUACUAACUAAAAGUUAGAAUAGCUAAAAAAAAGGUUAAAAGUUAAGGACAUGAGUUGAGGGCUUUUUUCAAAUUAAGUGGCCUAUAGUUGAGAGGAUCUCAUUACAUUUUUAUCCCCCCAAAAAAAAAGAAAAAAAAAAAGGAAAAUGAGUGAAAGAGGUAUCAUAUUCUGUGCAACAUAAACAGCAAUUUGAUACUUGCCAAAUGAGCAAUUAAAGUAAUUAGACAUAUAUACUUUCCAAUCAAAAGUAAAUGUGAGCAAGCUUGUGAUCAACAAAUUCUUGUUAUUCUUUGUAAUUAAAGCAUAUAUAUAGUUCUAAUUAUAUUGCAGUAGCUCCAAUUAAUGCUGAGGGAAUGAUUAGAAAAAUAACUCAUGCUCCUCUUUUAGACCUUUCUUUUACAUUUAUUUACAUUUGUCUAUAUUCUAGUUUUUGAAUACAAAAGCUAUUCCAACAGCAAGGCCAAAUUGACCAAUUUGUAUUUCGUGCGAUAUCACACGUCAUGUAUAUUCUCAAGUUCAACUAACACAAAUAUGAGCUUUUACACAAGCGUGAAAUCUAAACAUAAAAAGAGUACGAGUUCAGAAUCCAUAUAUCAUUGUGACACAUGACAUCUAAAUAGUGCAUAAGUAGAAAAUCAAAUAUAUUGGCUAGGAAUGAAUUUCUCACUCAUCAAUUAAAUAAUAGCUUUAUUGAUAAUUGUAGAUUGUGUUGAUUGGUACUAAUGUAGGAUUNUCCUAUAUUGUGGAGGAGGUUACAACCAUACACUCUCAAGAAUACAAAUUUAUAAAUUCGAAAACUAUCAAGUUGUGAUUGGUGCAGUUGGAUCGUUUGGUGUGGUUCGGUUGUCCUCUUGAUUCCGAAUUGAUUUUGAUUUAGUAAGUUGGUUGAACUGGCUCAAUGUGGUUUGAUUUGAUGCUUCAAUAUUAACCCCUGAGAAAUUCUAGACGCAAAUUUUAACCUAAAUUUGAAUGUGCAGAAAUUUUCUACACACAAAAUGAUUCUAUCACUCAUCGGUGGUAGAAUCGUCUCGAGUGUAGAAAAUCAAAUUGACUACAAGAUUGUAGAAAAAAGUGUAUCCCCUGAGAUCAUGUUUGAGGGCCUGUUUGGUUUACAGAAUUUAAAUUUUUUUUUUGCUGGAAAUUAAUUUCUUGGGACAUCUAGUUUUAUGAUAUAAUUAUUGGAUUAUGAAAACUUUUUUGUUUGGCGCAUACCUUAGAAUAUACAGGAAUAUAUUAUUUCUGCUUUUGGUUCAACAAGAAACUUAUCCAACUAUGUUUAUAAAAUUCAUGCAAUACUCUUUCCUAUAGAGACAAAUUAUAUAUCAUUUUACACUAAAUCACUUAUGUAAAAUCGUAACUAUUUGUGUAUUAAAUACUCCUAAAUUUAAGGGACUCAUAACAUUAUUUACCUUAUAUUACUCGAUUUAAAUUUCGGAAGAGAUAUAAAAUUUGCAAAGAGAUAUAUUAGUCCUUUUAAAUCAAAUUUUUUAUAAAAAAAAAAAUUACAAACACAGGAGGUGGGUUUUUGAAUCCCACGUUUUAAAAAUUAUAAAAUUUUGCAAAAAUUUUUAAUUCCUCCCGCAUCAAGUUUUUUUGACAAAACAAGCCCUUAAUGUUUUUUUUUUUUUUUUUUUUUUUUUUUUUUUUUGUGAGAGAUAGAUAGUACACUACCCGCUUCGUUUAUUUUAUUUAAAAAUAAACUGAACUGGAAAUGUGAAUCAACUAGGAUUCGAACUUGGAACCUCUGAGUACCAACCACCAAGCCCUUAAUGUUGUUAACAUUGAUUUGCUUCAACCAGGUCUACUGUGACACCCGAACUUCCCAGGAGGAGUUUAGCCCUAUUAUAUUUUAUAUAUAGAACUAUCUGGGGUUUCACAAUCUCUCCCCUGUUCUCGUCAGACUCAGAUUCACAAGUAUCAGGCGAUGUGAGACUUGUCUAGCUAGUCUUGUCAUUCCGACCCUAACUCAGCUGAGACUCAUAUCAUAUUUCCGGCUGGUAAUUGGCUCUGAUACUAACUAUGACAUCCCAACUUUUCAGGGGUCAUCUAUUUUACAACUACUCUCGUCCUAACAUACUUAACUUUUUUAAUUUUUUGGGCUUAGUCACCACUCAAAUUGCUUAAGUCGGAUUAAGAGUUUAUUCCUGUUAUAUUUUAUAUAUAGAACUAUCCGGGGUCUCACAUGGUGCAAACUUGCAUGAGCCAUCAUGUAUACAACCAAAUUCCCACCCACUGCCACAAUAAGGAAAAGAAGAAGUCGUACCAAAUACAUUCCCCCUCUGCUAAGAAAAUAAAGCCGAGAGGUGGAAAAUCUCUUUCGUUUUAUCCGUGCUUAUUCGUUAAACAUUUGCUAAAAAUUUUAAUCUGUCAUAUCCAUCGCGAAUGAAGUAAUAAGUAACAGUUAAAAUUCAGAACAAAUAUUAAUCCACCUCGAAAUCGUCCCAAUCAACCGAAAAAAGGGUUGGUAGGUGAAGGUGCACAAGCACAACCAAGUUCGAGCAUCUAUGUUUGGCAUGAUCCACGUGUGUAUUUACCGAAUUUAGGUAUCUUGGUAUUUUGCACUUCUUAAAAGAAUCUUAAUUGAAUCCUACUCAACCCAUUUCUCACAAUUUUCCUUUUAAUUAUUACCCAACUGGGUUUGUUUCAAAAGAUUUUGUAGUGGGAGAAACUACAAUAAUAAAUGGCAUUUCAAGUGGCUUAUAAAUGCUACCAAAACCAUGCUCAUAUAUGCAUUUUCUUUUCUUUUUUUUUUUGUACUCCUACAUGUGUUGUAUUGCAAGUGGCUUGGUCCAUGAUGACUUGGUACGCAAAGACUAGGGAAUUUCUGCGACUUCUAUAUAUAGGUUAGAAAUAGACUUAGCUGAAAAUGUGAAUCAAUUAAGAUUCAAACUUAGGUUUCGGGUACCAACCGUCAAACUUUUUUGCCACUUGCGUUAUGAACGGUCAGUGAUUUGGGAAAAUGCUAGCUCUAAUGCUUGGUCAAUGAGUGGACUUUUCCUUGAUGCAUCCAAAAACCUAACUUAUAUGUUUAAUUAUUCCAAAGUUGUGGACCCUUUUUGAGAAUUAAUUGCAAAAAUGUUAGGCAAAUAUGUAGCCCAAUCAAGGUGAGGCAUUUGUGGAAAUUUAGAUUCUCCAAUUCUUUACUUUACUCUUGUGUGGCGUGGUCACAUCAUCCAAUGGCAAAUAGUACAAAUUCAUGGGUAUUUCAUAAACUUGUAAAAUAUAAUAUCACCAGCAAAGUCAAUUUUGAAUUGUACCUAAGAACAUUUUUAUUUAAUUUAAAAUGUAUGUAUAUAUGAAAGCUUGAUAGUGAGGAGUAAUAAAUUGGCAUUAAUAAGACAGUUUGAGAGGAAUAUUAUAAAAACAAAUUUUCGAAAAGGGUUGAUUUGUAAAAACAAAAAAAAUUAUUUUUCUGCGCAUGUUAAGUAAUUACAAAUGUCUAUUUAGAUAUAACACGGUUAUCUAAUGAUAAUUUUAUAUAAUUUAACAUUUUAAAUAUAAGCUUUUUUUUUUUGAAAGAUAGAUAGCACGCUACCCGCUUCGCUUAUUUUAUUUAAAAAUAAAUAAAUUUAACUGAAAAUAUGAAUCAACUAGAAUUCGAACUUGGAUCUCAGAUACGAACCACAAAAUUUUUUGCCACUUGCUUUAGGGACGGUCGGUCAUAUAUGAGCAAUUUUGUUCUUGUACCGAUUGAUUAAAUAAACAGAUAUAUCAAUAAAACAUAAAUGCAUCCAAAUAAACCUUUUUUCUUUUUUCUUUUUUCUAUUUUUCUAUGAGGCUCUUAUUCUUUGCGUGCUUCAAAAUUGAUCAAAGUAAGUAACCUAAUGGGUAUUUUAAUUAAUUACCAAUUAAAUAUAUUUUACUAAAUAUAUUUUCACACUAGACCAACAACUUAAUUUAUUUCUUUUAUUAUUUUAAAUAAUAGCCAACUAGCUAGGGACGUGUAUAAGUGUACUCCAUCGACCAAGUUAUAUUUUUAUAUAUAUUUCAUUAUUCCUACAACUAAGUUCGUGUAAUUAAUGGAGAAUAUUUAUGGUGAUUGCAAUGACCAAAAAUGAUAAAUUUUAUAAAUAGCUAGAAUAACUAGGCGGGGACUACUAUUUAUGAGUAUAGACCUCCUUAUACUUAUAAAUUUUUAAUCGUUGAUUGAUGAGAUGUGCGGUCAGGAUGAUGAUGGUCCCCACUUAGAAUGAUAAUGGUCCUCUAGGGUUGAGUGGGUAGUUGGUUAAAUAGUACGAUCUAACGAUUAGAAAUGAUUAAUGGAAUAAAUCUAAUGGUCGAAAAUUUAUGAGUAUAAGGAGUUAAUACUUAUAAAAGUAUAGUAGCCGGACUCGAAUAACUAUAUAUAGGGAGCUUGAAUUAAAUAAAUUCGGUGGCUCACAUGGUCUUUAAUUGUUUUUAAAUGCUCCUCAUCGUUACAAUAUUAAAAUUUAUAACUUUAUGUGGGUCUUUACCUACAAAUUAAUUAAUGCUUGAAAAAUUGUGCUUCUUUUAAAUAGAAACCAAGAUAUACUUUUUUUUUAAAUCAGCUAUUUAGUAAAGGGCAAUAAAGGCGUCAUAAACAUUUGGUAAAAGCGUAUGUAGUUUGCUGGAUCGAUUAUUCAAUUUUUCAAAAUUUUAAUUUUAUUUUUAAAAUUUUUUAACACUUGUCGCUUAUCGUUACAGGUUUAAUUAUUAUAAUAAUAAUUUAUACAGUUCUUACAAUUAUAAAUUUAUUUAUAUAAGUAAUUAAUUUAAAAUUUAAAAUCAAAGUGUCAUUAACUGGCUCAAAUCAAAUAAAUUAAACGGUUAGAUAGUAAAAUUAAAAAUUAGAUAGUCGAUUCCCAAUAAUUCAGAGUUAAGAUAAAUUCUACAUAUUUUUACCUCUUACAUAUUUAAUUAAAGAAUUCAAAGAAUUAUGAAAGGAGGUAAACUCUUGAAACCGGUUUAAUAUAAGAAAUUAAUUAAAUUAAUCACACUACAAAUUUACUCUACAUUUAAAUCUCUAUCUGAAUUUACGAACAUCUUAAAAUUAUUAGAACAUUAUAAGAAACUAAAAUUAAACUUCUAACUAAAAUUAAACCGACUCAUUUGAAUUGAUAAGUGUGGUAUUCAAUGUUCUUCGAUUCAUAACACAACACUAUGAAAAAGAAAAAUUCUUUAUAAGCACAAAUUUUUACGGAAUCACUAAUUUGUUUCGAAAACAAAAUACUACCUAACUUUAAUCAUGCUACAGUAUAUAUAUAUAAUUAUAAAUAAAAGUAAAAAAGAGAAAAAAAAAAAAAACUAAUAAGUAAUGAUGGAUAGAGACAUACGCAUAUGAAUUAAUUAAUUGAUGCUUAUUGCGUACUUUGUUGAGCCACAUGCAAAUAGGAGUUACGCUAAUAAAAUUGAACGGAUCCAAAUUAAAUGCAUGUCCAAUUAAUCCCCGUGCAAACGUUGCUUUCACCUCUUCUGAGAAGAGUAAACGAUACUCAAUUUAUUGAAUAAAGGACAAAAAUACAUAAAUAUAACUUGAUUAAUUGUUUCUAAAUAUUGAUUAACCACUACAUUUAACUUUCAUUUAAUUCUAUAAUUUUAAAUUGUUCAUGAUACAUCUCGUUACCACGUUUAGGCCUAAAUUAGUUCGCCAAUAUUGACUUUAGAGAUGAAAAGGAUGUGGAAACUUGCUUUUCAUACUCUUUUUUUUUUUCUUUUUUUUUUUUUUCAGUUACCAAGUUUUUUUCUAGGCUUCUUUUUCUCUCUUGCAUCAAAAGAAAUAAUUCACGAAAAUAUUGAACAAUUGAGACGUAAUAUAAGCAAAAAAUGGAUGAAAAGGAAGCGACGAGACGAAAAAAUUUUAUUUCAAUUUACAAUAAAAAUUAUUUUUUAUCAAAAUAAUUAUUAAUCUAGGGUAGUUCCAAAGUUAAUUAUAAGAGAUAAAAGGAUAGAAAUAUAUAAUAAAAAUUAUGUGCUUUAAAUUUUUUUCACGUACCCUCUUAUUUGAUUGUGUAAUUUUUUAAUAAAAUAAAUAAAAAAGUGGAAUAGUGAGUAGUGACAGUUCAAAAGUCGUCGAGUUUCUGCGUGACAAAUAAUGAUGAAAUUUUUAUUUUUUUUUUGUCUAAACUUCAGGUUAAUUAAAAGUCUUUUUCAAUUUGAAAAUCACUUAUAAGCAACAAAAAUAGGUCAUUAGUCAUAAAUUUAGCACAUUUAGGACUUAGAAACUUGUAUUUAAUUAGGCUAAAAGUUUUAGCUGGAAGCAUAAAUAUCUUGUACGAAUUUAAUUAGGCUAAAAGUUUUAGAAACUUGUAUUUAAUUAGGGCGUGUUUGGUUUACUUCUUUUACACUCUGAAAUCGGAAUCGGAAUGGGUGAAUUCGUUUGUGGGUGUUUGGUACGCGGAAGUCCCAUUCUGAUUGCAAUUCCUGAGUGGAAUGUGAAUACCCCAAUCACCUCUUUUUUCAAUCCGCCUAGCAGGCCGGAUUGGAAGUUGAAUCCAGACGGAAUAGAUAUUUAUUCGGAUUAAAUUUAUUUUUUCAACUUUUUUAAUUAAACUAUGAGUUAAAAUUUAAAAAGUAAAUAUAUAAUUUGAAAUUUUAAUUUGAACUUAAAUUAAAAAUUAAAAUUUAAUCAAGUAUUUCGAAUCUAACUUAUGAAUUUGAAUAUAAAUUAAAUUUUAAUUUAUAUAAAGUUUUAUUCAAAUUUUAUUUCAAACUUAAAUUAAAUUUAUGGAUUCAAAUUAAAAUUUAAAUUGUAAUUUUAAGUUUGAAUUUGAAUAAAUUAAAUUUUAAUUUCAUAUUUUGAAUUAUCCACUCAACUUCAAAGUCUAUUUUUUUUUAAAAAAAAAUGGAUUUAAAAUUUUGAUAUUAUUUCAAAAUUUUGAUAUAAAUUUUUAAUAUUUAAUAUUUUAUUUGAAUUUAAAUUAAUAUAUUAAAAAGAUAAUGUUAGUAUAUUAAUUUGAUUACGUUUUUUAUAUCCACCUAAACCAAACACCGACAAUGGGAAUAAUUUAUUCCGAUUCCGACUCAGGUGAUGAACCAAAUAGAAUUAGGUAAUAUGUCGUGCUGAUUCCGAUUCCAGCUUAUUUUAAUUCUGAUUCCUAUUCCGACUUUAACUUCAAACCAAACAGGACCUAAAAUACAUAUGUAUAAGAUUCUUGCAAUAUAUAUAUAUAUAUAUAUAUAUAUAUAUAUAUAUAUAUUAUUGUGCUUUUCUUCUUAACAAUAUGCAUUUAUUUUCCUUGUUUUACUCUCAUAUUUUUUUAACUUCUACUUAGGUAACUAGAAUUUAUGGAGCAAUUAAUAAUUUUAUGUUAAAUACCAGUGACAUAAGAAAAUAGAAAAAAAAAAAAAUUGUAACUACCGAUGGGACGAAAUUUAAAGCAAUAUAAUAAUAUGCCGUGGCAUUGAAGGACACAAAGGUGUGCAUAAUUUCAUGCAACCCCUUAUAAAUUCCGAGAUAUACAACAAAAAGUAUUCUUUCAUGUAUUUGGCAUGAUAUCAUUGGUCCACCAAUCUCUGUAUCCAUUUGCCCAAAAUAAUACGUAAGCUAAUUAAAAAAAAAAAAGUUCUAUGGUUUCUAAUUCCCACGCAAAAAUUAAAUAAUAAUAAUAAUGUAAAUAUAUGUACUAAAAUCCGGAAAUGGACACCCCAAUUAACUUUUUAAUUUUUUAUUAGCAUUAUUCUAGUUAGUUAGUUUAGAAGUUUUGGUAUAUUUAAUAUCUCUAUUAAUUAUUUUAAUUUUAUUCACUAAAAAGUGAAUAAAAAUAUUAUCUAAAUUACUAAUAAAUUGGAGCUAAAUUAACGAGUAAUAAUUAAAAAGUAAAGUUGAGGAGGUUGUUUCGAAAAAUGCUAUAGUUGAGGGGGUCGGCGCACAUUUUGAAUUUUAUGACAUAAAUAAUAAAAAAACCAAAUUUAUAUUUUUUUUUGCAAAAUAAUAAUAAAAAAAUUUAAAGGGGAGUUGCUGAUUCUAAGGGGGAACUCUCUCUCAUACAAAGAAGAUGCGAAGAGGGGGAGAGAGAGAGAGGAGUCAGAUCUUGGAAAUUUCUCUACUCCUCUCGUCCUCUCCUCUCUCCAAAAGCCCACGACUUGGUCUAAAGCAACGCCCUUUUAUCUCUCUCUCUCUGUAUCAAUCCUCUUCUCUCGCUCUCUCUCUCUCUCUCUCUCUCUCUCUUCUGUUUCCAGGUACGGGGCUCUACUUUUUCAUAUGACUCCGAUUCAAAAAAGCUCGUUUUUUGGCUCUUUGAUCCGUUUUGUGAUGUGGGUUCUCUCUAUUUCGCGCUUUUUCGAUCUCGGUUCGUCUCGAUCACGCGUCUUUUGGGCUCUGUUUGGGCGUUUCCUUUUCGUUUUUGCUUGUUAAUCGCGUUCCUUGUGUUGAGUGCGUGAAUUGGGAGCUGUUUUAUAUAUUGGGGUGUGAUUGGGCUCGAAAGGUCGAAUUUUUAUUGGGGCUUUUGGGGAUUAUAAUUCUAUAUCACUUUGAGCUGUUUGAUUAUUUGGUGACGUGUAUACACUUUUGUUCUUCGAAUUUGGCCAUGUUUAAUUUUUCGCUUUCUUUUAAUAUGUGAGAUUCGGAUUACUCGUGUUCAAUGAGUUGUUCUCCUACUAUUGUUCCCUUAUAUCGUUGACUUUGUCGUUUUCGUUCAGUUCCAAGCUAUAAAGUUGGAAUUUUUCCUGCAAAACAAAGCUCAAAAGUUGGAAUUUUACGCCCUUUUUCGUUCAUCAAAUGUUCGCUUCCUCUCCUUUUCUUUGUGUCCUCAAUCAAUCAACUUUAAAACUUUUUCUGCUUUAGUUUUCAAUGGUUUUGACUAGGAGCCAUUACAAUUUUGUAAUUUUCCUUCUAUUUCAAAAAUUUUAGGGCUUAUUUCCUCUUUUUUGCUCCUGUGUGGGAAGUAUAUGCUGUUCUUUGUAUCUUCGUAUAUGCGACAAUUAAACGCACUUUAUACCAAUGCUGUUAUGCUUAUAUCAUUGGUUUUUAGGGGGGUGUUUCAUCUCAUUUCCUUAAGUUGAAAUUUCGAUCCUUGGUUCUAACAAUUCAUAAGUUGUUCUAAUAAUGGCUUAUUUUGCUAUAUCUAUCUAUUACUAUUAUGAAAUCAAAACUUCUUUUGUGAUUUUUACCCUUAAUAGUAACUCAAUUUUGUUUUUAUUUGCGUAGAUAUCUUGUUCCGGUCGGCUCGACGAGUUUAUUUCACCGGAGAGGGCUAUAUUUUCACCCAUAAGUUGCGUGGCCAAGGAGAAUAGUUCUGCUGUUAUCGAUUCAUUGAUAAGAUAAUUUUUCACAUGCUACCAGUCAAUAGGAGCAGAAGUCAGCCGAGGGCCGGUAGAUCUUGGCCCUUCUCAGGUUUUUUUAAUUUUUUUCUUUCAAUAGUUUUUGAGCUUGAUAGCACGCUACCCGCUUCACUUAUUUCAUUUGUCGUGUAUUUAGGUACUAAGAUUUCCAUUGCGUGCAAUAAUAAGAAUUAGAGCGAAAUGAAACGAAGCGUAUGAAUAUGAAUUUUUUAAAAUAAGUGUGAAAUCCAUGCUGCUGAUCGAAUCGAGUUUUGAAUUGUUGGUUUCAGAUUCGCUAGUGGUCCAGGUUACUGAAGAUUCAGUUCUCGUGAUUUCGACAGUUUCAGCUGUUUGUGUCUUUUGAUUUUAGAUAUUGCUUGAGAAGUGUCCGAUUUCUUUCAGGAGAAGCAAACUAGUACCAAAAUUGGGGAAUCAAAACAUAGUGAUGUAUUAAAGUUAUAGCUCAUGCUGCUUAACCAAGAAUAUAACUGAAAGUGUCUUUUUGUCUAUAAAAGAGAUCAAAGUAUAAAAAAAGAGAGAAAAAAUGUCAUAAAUGAUUUGUGGACAAAUCAUAGCUGACCCUCUAUGUUUGUAUCGCGUAACGCCGAUUAAUUUUCAAAAUCUAAGGCUUUUUAUAGAUGUUCUAAUCCAAGCUGAUGUAUGUUAGGUGAGGAUUGUUUUUGGAGACUAGUUUUAGAUUGGUAUCCACUGAAACCAAAAUGACUUGGUUUCAGUUUUAGAUUUUUGUCCCCCCUCUGAAAAUUUAAGCCGUGGAAUGAAAAUUUGUUCCAUGAAGCUACCCCGCUUUCAACUUUUUGAUCGAUACUUGAUUUCUGAGAAUUCUAUGGUUGAAUUUUACUUAGUUCUUUUUCCCUCCAUUACUUUUAUUCCUAGUUGCUUCUUUUCUUGUGCUCUCGAUAUUAAUCACAUCUUCCAUACUAUAAGACCAUUACAAAAAUUUAUAUGAUUUUGCAUUAGUCAGAAUUUUGAUUUUAAAAUCACUGUUUUAUCACAGGAAUGGAGUUCUCAGAUUCAAGACGCAAGCCUCAUUUUCUUGGGAAAGUAAUCACCGCCGUUGUUCUUACGGCCUUGUGCAUAUAUAUUCUGAAGCAAUCCCCUGGUUUUGGUGGCACUAGUGUGGUGAGUUUUAAAUUUUUUCUCAUCCUUGUCUUCUUUUUCUUCAUCAUUUUUCUACUCUUGUUAGCUCUUCUUCUUCUUCUUCUUCUUCUUUUUCCUUCUCUUCCUGUUAUUAUGUGAUCAAAUUUGCAUAUAACCUGUUAAUAUAACCUCACUUAACUUGUCAUGGAUUUUGUGUUUUAUUUAGUUUUGCCUGUGAUUUGGCUUAAACUAGUAUAUAUCCAUGUUCAUUUGUCUAAGAGAUUGUACAGCGUCAUAGGUUUGCUAUUUUUUCACUAUUGGGUAUAAUUCUCUCGAGGGAUGUCAAAGCAAUUAUUUGAUUGCCUAACACGAAUUUUUGUGCUUGUUUAAUGAAUGAAUUCUUGUAUCUAACAAUGAAUGAAAUAAUGGGUAAAAAACUCCGCCGAAACUCUUCCCACAUGUUUUCUUGCUCUGCUCCAUGAUCAUAAUUUAGUUCUGUAAUUGUAGGCAUCUCGUGUGACUCUUAGGAUGGUUCGCUUUUCCUCUUUGAUGUCGCAGAGCUGAAUUGCUCUUAAUGUUUUUUUUAGUCACGGAUUUGUUUUCUUGUUUUCUAAUUAAUUUGGUAUCUUACAGUUUUCACGUCAUGACCCCGGAGUAACCCAUGUCUUAGUAACUGGAGGUGCUGGCUAUAUUGGUUCGCACGCUGCGCUUCGGCUCUUAAAGGACUCCUAUCGAGUUACUAUCGUGGUAAUUCUCGCUUCUUGUUGUAUAUAUACAUACACAUUAUACUACUCAAACAUAAUAUGUAGUUCCGAAGGGAGAGUUUUAGAAUACUUUGGGAUGCACUGGCCAUUUGCUCACAUUGGAUCGGCUUUGAGAUCCGCGCCUGCCUCUCUCGGAUGCGUGCCCUGCAGUGCAUCUGAAGAUUCCCUGGAUCUUGAAGCCGAUCCCUUGCACAGCAAAGUGAAGAACUGGGAUCUCAGUGCUUCGGUGCUUCCGAAAAUAUUUAACAUCUAUUCUUAAUAUGAAAUUUUCUUUCAAAGUUCCUUUUCGCGCGCUGCUGAUAUUUGCAGUACUAGUCAACUCGCGUGCUGUUUGUUUUCGCAGGAUAACCUCUCUAGAGGAAAUAUGGGUGCCGUGAAAGUCCUCCAGGAGCUAUUCCCGGAGCCUGGGAGACUUCAAUUUAUCUAUGCUGAUUUGGGCGAUGCGAAAGCUGUAUCCUGAUCAUUCGGCCUUCACACUUGCUAGAUUUAUUUUUUCUUUUCUUUUUUUUUUUUAAUUAAAGCAUUCAGUUAUUUCUUAACAACUAUUCAGGUGAACAAAAUAUUCGCAGAGAAUGCAUUCGAUGCUGUAAUGCACUUUGCCGCAGUCGCAUAUGUUGGCGAGAGUACAAUGGAACCUCUUCGGUAUGCCAUUUAUACUAUAUAAACUCUUCGGUUAAAAUUUUAUUAUAUAUUUUAAACACGUUUAUCCCUUUGAUAAUCCGUGAUGUGCUAUUAAAACUGUAUAUAGUGAGGUAUUGACACACUAAUAACUAUGAUUGCUUUGGAAAAUUCAAAGCGCUUUUUUGAAAUUUCUUGUUAUAACAUUUUUUUAAAAAAAAAAAAUGUGUAACAGGUACUAUCACAAUAUCACGGCUAAUACUUUGACUGUUCUGGAGGCCAUGGCAGCUCAUGGUGUGAAAACUCUGAUUUAUUCAAGUACAUGUGCGACUUACGGAGAACCUAAGAAGAUGCCGAUUACGGAAGUUACUCCUCAGGUAAAGUCUCAUUAAUAAGAGUCCCUAUUUUAUUUCAUUUUGCUUGCCUUGUUACAUCUCUGUUAUUAUAUUAGCUGUCCUUGGAAAUUUUGGAGUGACAAAAUUUCUGAAGAAAUUUUAUUAUUGACCAAUGUUUCUGUGCGAUUUCAGUCUCCUAUCAACCCGUAUGGGAAAGCCAAGAAAAUGGCGGAGGACAUUAUAUUAGAUUUCUCAAAGAGAUCAGACAUGGCUGUUAUGAUACUAAGGUUUGUUUCUUCUAGUAUCACAUACUUGGGGCGGAGAUGAGCGGAUUCUGAUUUAAAACAUCUAUUUCAGGUACUUUAAUGUCAUUGGAUCGGACCCAGAAGGUAGAUUAGGGGAAGCUCCUAGACCGGAAUUGCGAGAGCAUGGCAGGAUAUCUGGGGCGUGCUUCGAUGCGGCUUUAGGAGUUAUUCCGGGACUUAAGGUAUAACUUCCUUUUAUCCUAUAAUCGACUUUAACAGUGAAAAUCGUUUAUGUUUGAAGUGGUUAAAGUUUUGUUGGGCCCCCCUGUAGGUUAAAGGAACGGACUAUCCGACAGCUGACGGAACCUGUAUCAGAGACUAUAUCGAUGUCACAGAUCUAGUCGAUGCGCAUGUCAAGGCACUUGACAAGGCGGAGCCUAAGAAAGUUGGCAUUUACAAUGUUGGCACCGGACAAGGUUUUCCUUUAUGUGAUCAUAACCAUCAUAUUAUUCCAAUCUACCCCUCUUUGUACUUGUGAAAGUUAACGUAAAUUUGCGUUGGAUGUAUAUUUUGUUUUUCAGGUAGAUCAGUAAAGCAGUUUGUGGAAGCAUGCAAGCAAGCAACCGGAGCAAAGAUAAAAGUCGAGUAUCUCAGCCGCAGGCCGGGAGACUAUGCCGAAGUCUACAGCGACCCCGCGAAGAUCAACCACGAGCUCAACUGGACGGCCCGCUACACCGACCUGCAGGAGAGCCUCUCGAUCGCGUGGCGAUGGCAGAGAUCGCAUCCCAACGGCUACGGGAGAUCCUAAAAACACAUAGCUUGUCGAUUCAACUCCUCUGAAUAUGAGAGAUAGAAUUUGGGCACGAGUUUGUUUUCUACCAUGUAUUGUAUUGCGUAAAUUUUAUCAUAAGAGGGUGAUAUUUUUUUGGCAAAAUUUGGUAGGGGUCAGGAUAGGAGCAUAUAUUUCAUUUAUUAUUAUUUUUUUCCUUACAUGUCAGCAAAACAGAAUCUAAUAACCAGUUCAGUUGAUUGCUAUACACCCCUCUCCCCCACCUUGAUUAAUCUCAUGUGUAUUAUGCUUUUGUUAUAAAUUAUGGUGAAUCUAAAGGCCUCUCUUUGUAAUUUUUCCUCUGAUUUUGUGUUUUUUUUUUUUGGUUCACAUCAUCUAGCAUCAGUUAUCAAUUUGCUAUAAUGCUAUAAAUCUUCAAUUGUAUGUGAGAAAAUUUUAAAUUGAGUAUACUUUCGCGACCUCGUCUGCCAAUUAUAAGCUUAGAGGCUUUGUUCACAGCAAGAUGUUGAAAUGAGUUUUUGAGGAAAUUCUGCUUCUGGCUUUCUUCAGCUUCUGUUUAGAGGAUCUUAACAAAAUGAACUUAAGACUUGUUCAACAUCACUACUCAAACAGCACCUUAAGUACAUGAUAUUAUAUGGGUUUUGCAUGCCACAUCAUCCAUUGAGAUGUUAGGUUAAAGGAAGUUCUUUGACUUCUCUCUUUGUUUUUUUUUUUUUUUUUUUUUUUUUUUUUUGCAGCUGAGUGAUUGAUCUUUUUAAUUAUUAGCCAACAACUAAGCCUGGCAAUUAAAUAGUAAUGUAAAAUCUACACUUCCCAACUAAUACCAUGAAAAAAAAGGGGUUAAAAACAAGCUGAAAAUACCACAGAAAAGACCAAAUUAACCCUUUAAACUUAGCAUGAAACAGAUCUGACUAGAGAAAUUUAUAUCUAUUCCCUGAUCUUCAACCUCAAGCGCUAUAUUUUUCGUACGAGCUUCUUUCAGUAUAGUUUCUGUUGAGCUUUUUUCAGUUAAAUAUAAGAAAAUUUUUUAAGAGCUAAGUCUAUCUUUUAGUACAAAUUUACCUUUCAAUUACAACAUGUAAUUGAAAUUUAAAUAGGUGAACUAUUAGCCGCGGAGGGGUAAAAUUAAUUGCAGCAAACAGAAUAUUUGCAAAUCAGAAAAAUGUUAUGUAUAUAUUUCAAUUAUGAGUUAACUGACAACAAAGUGCAGAGAAGAACAAGCUCAUACUCGUUACAACUCCGGAAGCAGAGUUGAUAAUAAAAGAACUUGUGAAUCUCCAAUUAUUUGCUUGCUUCAGCAGCAAAAAUUCGAUAUAAUUGGAAGAUUUCAUUAGAUUAAUUGAUUUCCAGUUGGUAUUUAGAUGCUGGGUUGUAGUUUUUAUCCUGUAAUUUCAGAAAGAGAAAUUGUGUUGUAACAGUGUCUCUUUUCACCAUACUACAUUCAUCAUUUCAUCUUGUGGAGUUCACAUUGGUUUUACUCUAGAUUACAUCAGAUUUUAGAAAGAAGUUAUUUCCAUUGCACUCGUCGUUUUCUUCGCAGGGGAAUGUACUAUAUUGCUUUUUGUGCGAAAAUAAUCAAACAGAUUAGUUUACUCUUAUUAAAGUACAAUUCCUCGCACGUUUAAUCAGGAAGUAUAAAACCGACAACCUCUUUUCUUUAUUCAAUGUAAGUACAUUCGAUCGUUCGACAGUUCGAAUUAUUUAUAUCAUCGACGUAUUAUCACAUGCCUAUUGUUAACCUCUAUAGCAAUUGCUGGAAUUAUGAUUUUGUUUAGGGAGAAAUGAUAAAAUAUAACAAGAAUCAAAAUAGAAAAACAUGAUCACCUAAUUCCUAUGAAGGUCAAUAAGCAGGUUCCAGUAACCGCCGAACCAUUUCGUCAACUCUUACAUCUAGCAUUAUAUAUUAAGCAAACAUCUAACACACCAAACAAACAUUUUUCCUUCUUUGAUGUUCAAAUAAUAACAUUUCGUAGAGAUAAAAUCGAAGCGGGUUUUCUCUCAGUUUCUUUCGAAGAAGAGAAGAACAAAAGGAUGUUUUUAUUUAUUUAUUUCCAUUACCUGCAUUUUCUGAUUUGAGGGGUCUUCGUAAAUUAGAGAUUGAUAUAUUCUUGGUGAGGAUACGAACGCCAAUUACAACAAGUCAAAGUGGAGAAACUCUGCAAAAACAUGGUAAACACCAAGCUUUGCUUUUGAUCACAACCAUUUGAAUUUAAUUUUUCGUAUAGGCCAUCAUAUACUCUGAGUUCCUUUCUCAUUACUGUAGUAACUUUUUCAGUUAGCUAGAUGAUUUUUUAUCCAUUUAUUUUCUGCAAAAGAAAGCAAGGUGAAAUAUUUCAGAUCCUACCAUCCCCCCCCCCGGAAAGGUAAGGGGAAAAUGGAACUUAUUUAAAUACUUCUCGUAUUUUGAAGCUAAUUAGGUAAAUUUUUGUCCGAUAUAUUCCAGAAAACAGUUGAUAUUAGUUCAAGAACUUUGCAGGAACUUUAACAUGACCGGUGAGUACUAGUUUACAAAUUCGUUUGGAUAUACUCAAAAUUCGGUUAAGCUGCAUUGCAACUGUUCUUAUUUGAUAAUUGGAUUUUUUUUUUUUUUUCUUUACUCAAUGAUCUAAGAAUUGAAUAUAUAAAUUCUUUUGCUCAACUCAUGUUCAAUUUUCUAUUUUUUUGUUGUGAACCUUUGGCUAUUUUUGUUCAAGUUAGUUAGAUUGUUGCAGUUCUUAUGGUAAUUCCCUCUCUCUUUCUACGAUUACACUGGCAUAUUUGCAUACAUGUUCAGGACAUGAUUUGCUACUCAUUUUGAUAUUUUUCACCGAGACUACCGACUUGCAUCAGGAUACAUGACUGUACAAGUGCCAAAGUUGCAAUCCCAGAUUCGGGCCAGAGUUUCUGCAAAAAUGUAAUCGUUAAUCUUUCCAACAGCUUUCCACUUUUGGCAAAAACAAAAAUUUCAAAUCAAACAUAUACAUAUACGAGUUUUGCAGCAGCACUGACUGAAACUCAUUUUCAGAGCAGGGAAGUAGUUCAGAAGCUCGGUCGAAUAUGCUUUAGUGCUUGUUUCAUGUACCAAAUCGAGUCGCUGUGUCGAUUUCUUAAUCUUUUUAAACUAUUAUUAUGGUUUCCGAUUGUUCUUUUUUUUUUUUCUGUUCGAUUUACGUGGAAAGAACGAAGGAGGAAAUCACGGAGCUGCAGGCACAGAUGUUGAAGUAGUCGCCAGACAAAAUGAAGGAACAAAUCCGAGCCAAGAAGGUGUUGCAGCCCUCAGGAACCGGAUCAAAUCCUCCUCCCAGUGCGUCGUGGUCAUCGCCGCGCUUGUACUGACCGGCAUCUUCGUCCAGAUUGACAGCAUGAAACAAGCCAACAGCACGCUCCUGCUGAUCUGCACCCUGUCGGCCGCGACCGCCGGUGCCGACGGCCUCCUCCUGCGCUUCUUCAUCGCCGAGUUCUUGCCCGAAAAUCCUGGGGGGUGCCAGUACAAAUGCAUCAAGCUGCUGGCGCACAACUGCAGCGUUCUUCUCAUGAUAACGUCUUACUUGCUCCUGCUCUUGGCUGACACGAGCCACGCCGUGAUGGUCGUGAUGCUGCUCGUGAUGUGCGCGCUCGUCCUAGUCUUGCUGUGCAAAGGCGUGCGCGUUGAUCACGGCACCGACGCCGCAGCGUUCGCGCGCCGCAAGGCCGACCUCGAGCGCCUGCUGGACUUCGCCGUCGACGUCGCGUACAUCCUAUACGGGGGACUGAUCGGUAGAGUUUUCGGCUACUUCAAGAGCUCUACAGAGCAACCAACACUGCAUAACAAUAACAACAAAAGCAGCAGCAGCAGCAGCAGCAGCAGCAAUAAUUUGAAGGAGGUCCCCGAGCUGCUCAUCUUCUUCGGCUCGCUGGGCUUGGUUCUGAGCUCGACACCGCCAGUGCUCUCUACGGACCGCCGGAACGCGAACCAUCACGAGGACUGCGUGGUGAGAGGGCUGGAAUAUUACAACAACGCCUGCGCGGCGGUGGCGAUGGUAACAACGCUGGCACUGGCGUACGUGUUGGUGGGAGAGUUCAUGAUACUGGCUCUGGUGCCGGAGAUGGCGGCGGCGGUGGCGUGGGUGGUUGUGGACCUCGACCGCCGUUGUUUCGGGGCUCGGAUGGAGAAUGCUGGUGCAUCGGCCGCCGAUCGCAGCCGCCGCCGUGUACGUGCUCGAGUUCUCACACUUGAUGUCGCUUGUGUCGGCCGUGCCACUGCUUGCAGGCUUGGUCGUGGCUGAACUUCUAUGACCAGGUCUCAAUUAAACAAAAAUUUUAUGGAACCGUCCCUCCUGUAACGUACGUUGUUACAUUUAUCAUCUAUUACUACUUUGAGAUUCGAGCAUUAUUGCACAUGAUAAAUUGAACAAUUCAACUAUAAGAAUGGUUUCUAUAAAAUUUUUGUUUGGUCGUCUCAUAUAAUUAAGAUCGCUCUGAGUAAUAAAACUGAUAGCUUGCACACGAUGCAGUUCGGUGGUUAGUUCAAUAAUGAGCCUUUUAAAAUGAUUCAGUGCCUAUUCCGUAGUGCCGUCGCUUUUAAUAAAUUUUAUUUUUAUAAUAAAAACUCUAAAUUAAAUUCUAGUUUUUUUUUAAUACUGGUACUGAUACUUUCUGUUUUGUUAAUUGAGGUGCCUUCCUUUGUAAUUAGGCUUGUAUUAUAUUUUUUUGGUGCAAACUACAUAUAGAAUUUGGACUGACAGCUUAUAUGUCGAUGGCGGUCACGAUAUUAAAAGCAUAUAUAUAUAUAUAUAUAUAUAUAUAAUAUUUAUAUAUAUAUAUAUAUAUAUAUUAUAUAUAUAUAUAUAUAUAUAUUAUAUAUAUAGUCCGGCUAUGGUGCUUGUAAAAGCAUCAAGCACUUGUGCUUAUAAAUUUUUACCGUUAGAUCUAUGUCUUUAAUCACUUUCACUGUUAGAUUAUACUAUUCAACCAACCACCGACUCAACCCCAGGAGCCUACAUCAUUCUAACAUGCACAUUCCUUAAUCCAAGGGCUGAAAAGUUACAAGUACCAAUAACUUGGUACUUUUAAAAAUAUAGGAGCUUAAUUCUAUAUAUAUAUAUAUAUAUAAGUAUAAUAGUAUAUAGUAUAUAUAGUAGAGCUACUAUGCUAUCGGAAGCAUAGAGAAUCUAGUGUUUCCGAUUUUUUGGCUGUUAGAUCAGUCCCUUUAAUCACUUUUAACCUUUGGAUUAAUACUAUUACCCUAUGGGGACCACUUAACCCUAGAGAUACUACUCAACCCUGAGGGGACCACAAUCAUUCCAACCAUAUAAUUCUUAAUCCAAGGGUCAAAAUAUCGAAAGCAUCAAAUACUUUAUGCUUCCGAUAGUAUAGUAGCUCUACACUAUAGGGCACGUUUGAUUCGAAGUCAGAGUCGGAAUCGGAAUCGGAAUUAAAAUAAGCUGGAAUCGGAAUCGAAAUGACUCAUUAUCUAAUUUUGUUUGGUUCAUCACCUAAAUCGAAAUUGAAAUAAAUCAUUUCCAUUGUCGGUGUUUGGUUCAUGUGGAUAUAAAAAACGUAAUCAAAUUAAUAUACUAACAUUAUCUUUAUAAUAUAUUAAUUUAAAUUCAAAUUAAAAAUUAAAUAUUAAAAAUUUAUAUUAAAAUUUUGAAAUAAUGUCAAAUUUUAAAAUCUAUUUUUUUUAAAAAAAAUUAAACUUUGAAGUUAAUAAUUCAAAAUAUGAAACUAAAUUUUGAUAUAUUCAAAUUCAAACUUAAAAUUACAAAUAGUAAACUGAAUCCAUCCCCAGCCCUCCUAUUAAUAGCUAAGCGGUAUGGAUCUGGGAAGCCCGUUAGAUUGUCAACUUUCAAUAAGGCUAUAAUGCACCGGCCCAGAAAUGUUAAAGGGCAUUUAUCCUAUCUGGGCCGCCGAGUGCUGAUCAAAUUGUACCUAAUUACAUCACAACCUUUGGAUUUUGAACCAAUGCCAUGAUCAAAUUCCUUUUUUGUUCUUUUUUGUUUUUUUAUUCCAUUACUGCUUGAGAAAGUAGAUAAUAGCAACUAAGACCUCAUUUGGGCAAAAAAACAUCUUAUUCUGUAUAUCUCUUUAAUUUAAUCAAAAAAGUAUAUAUUUUUUUGAGACAAAGGUAGCACGCUACUUGCUUCAUUCAUUGGAGAGAUGAACUAGGCUACAGGAGUGAGACAACAGAGGCCUCGACUAAGGCGAAAAAAAAAAAAAAAAACUAUCGAUUGUAGAAAGGCCAAUUAGCUGUUAGAGACUGCUCCCAGAGAUUCGUUAACUGUUUGAUCUUGUAAAUCGCUAAGAUAGGGUCUAACAUGGUCUUUCGAAAGAUUACCUCAUUCCUACCAUCCCACGUGACCAACCAACAUGCUACUAUUUUGGUUAUCCAAUUAUUCAUGGCUAGUGUUCCAUACCUAGCCAGCUUGUCCCAGACCAAAUUCACAUUGUCCCCCAAAUCUCUAGUCUGUACACUCUCCAAGAUCAUUACUAAUAGGAAUCUAGAAAAAACGUAUUGUGUGAAUAAGUGAUCGACGGUUUUCUCUUCAGUUCCACACAACACACAAGCUGUGUUGUCAGUCCAACCUCUUUUAGUAAGGUUAUAUGCUGUAAGGAGCCUCUUCUUGAAAACUAACCAGCAAAAAACUUUCACUUUUAAGGGAAUAUGGAGUUGCCAAAUCUUGCAAGCUCGGUCAUCCCUCAUUCCCACGUCACUCAAUGCUGAGUAUAAAGAUUUUACCGUGAAUCGUCCGUCAGGGCUGCAUCGCCAAUGCACACUAUCAGGACCCUGCACAAUUUUGAAGUCGGCUAUCCGUUCCCUAAUUGCAGAGUAGCUAUAACUCAAAUUGUACUCAUUAAUGAUUAUGUUAUUUAUUACCUUACUCCAAUUCCAACCGUCGCUCGUCAGACAGUCACUGAUAUAUAGAUUUUUGCCAAUCAGUACAUAGUACACCUCGGGGAAUGACAAUUGCAAAGUGGUUUCCCCACACCAGCGAUCCGACCAAAAGUCGAUCGAUCUCUCGUUUCCUAGCUUAUGACACACUCCCUAUUUGAAGAUUGUACUCUAACUAAGAACUCCCUUCCACCAAUAUGAGGUAGGUUUGAAGGACCUACCCUCUUUCAGGGGUUUUCUUCGACAAUAGUAUAAAGCAUGAAUAAUCUUGUUCUAUUGUAGCUGAGGCUCAGUAUGGAAUUUCCACCACCAUUUGGUUAGUAGAACGCGAUUCAUUGUGUCUAAGUCCAGGAUUCCGAGUCCUCCCUCUUUCUUGCUUCUACAGACGUUCUUCCAAGCAAUCAAGCAUCCCCUACCAGAUGCGCUGUUUCCUCAAUUUCAAAAGAAGUCUCUGAGUAGGGAUUCAAUACGCUUGGUCACUCAUUUAGACGCCUUGAACACCGAUAGAUAGUAUCAAAAAAGUAUAAUUAUUUGAUAGAUGAGAAGUGCAAUCGAAUGUCUAGAAUGAAUAUUAGAUUCAGCUUCAAUUUAAUAUUUUCAAAAAAAUACAAAUCACCUUAUAAUUAAAAUAUAUUAUCCUACCAAAUCAUAAAUAUUAGGAUCUUUCGAAAAUAAAAAAUAAUUUUUUAACUUACAAUUCUAAUAAUUUUUUUCAGUUAUUUUGAAUAUUUUCUUUUAUCAUCCAAGCAUGAAAGUCUAUAGUAAAACAUUAUCAGCACCUGAAAACACCAAAAUUUCCCAAUUAACUAACAGGACUGUGUUCGUUCUGUUCUUAAUGUGGCUCUGUUCUCAAGGGCUCUGAUCUUCAUCAUCUCUGUUGCACUUCCUUCAUCAUUUUCCAUCUAGAUUCUAGAGAAAUCUGCUUCUCCAUUUGCGUGUAAUCCGAAAAAAAAAAAGAAGAACUAAAUCUGGUUGAAAAUAGUCUAAAACUAGCUAUAACAUUUCUGCUUACUUACAUGGUGGAGAUUGAACGAACCCAGUAAAAAUCAAUAUUAUAGGGAACUAUCUAGAGUUCUCACUUACAUGCACAGUAGAGAUCAAAUAAGCCUAUGCAUGCACCGACUGAAAAGAUAAUAACAAGUAUAACAGAGGAACAGAAGAAACUUAUGCCAAUUCAUGGCACGUGAUAAUUUAACUAACGGUUCUUCGAUGAAAGGAAACUUAGUACUAGUUCAGUACCAUUUAACUCAAAAGAUAGACCCCAGCGGGAGAGAAAGAAAGAGAGAGAGAGGAUGAGCAACUCCGCAGAUAGCAUAGCAACGCGCAUACAAAGCUCUGUUCUCUGCAUUCUACUACUCUUCUUAUUCUCCUCUGUUUCGGUUGGGUUGCUGGACAAACAAAGCUUCCCCUUUUUUCUCUCAUCUUCUUCAUACACAUGCACUAAUUUCUCCAGCCAGUGAAUUUAUAGGAAAAUCCACUAAAUUUGUUCGAAAAACAACCAAAAGCAGUGCAAUAUCAAGCGCGAACAGGGGAGGGGAAAAUUCAACUGCACAGACAACGAAAACAGGGCAUCAUGUAUAAUAUUUACAGCGCAGUAGCACCUCAGAUACAAACAAUUAUUACAAACGAGCCACGCCUUGCAAACGAACGCUGAACACUACAACACAGCUUUAAAAUGUCCACACUCCAUCGAAUCACACACUCGGAUAAAACUUCAGUAGGGAGCUCUCCAACGACCGCCACGUAUUAGUCUUAUCUCAAUCCAACAGUUUGGAAGGUGCUUUUAAUACUAAGCGGAGGAUUAUAAGUCUUGAAUAGAGAUAAAAGUAAUACGUGAAUGAUUGAUUAGGACUCCUUAACGAGGCGUCGUUGGAGAGAGUUUUCCAAAGUUUUUUCCCACACACUUGCAGAAGAAAGAAAAGCUCACAAAUACGAACAUUAUAGAGAAAGAUUAUACGGCAUAUAUGUAUAGUGUGUAAAAUGCAGCGAAAUAAUUAACACGACGUGCAGGAGCAUAUCGGAACUAGAAGAGGAGCAGGUUGCCGUCGGCGAGCAGAAAGCGCGAUAAGGCAUCUGCUACGCGGGCCGCAAGCCUUUCUGCUUCUGGAAGUGAGCGGAGAACAAAGGAUGCAAAAAAGAUGACCAGACACAGAGUCCAGAAGAGGAACAGGGUGAGGACGUCCUCGACGGCGAUGGAGGAGGAGGAGGAGGAGGAGGAGGAGUUCACGGUGAUGUGGACGAAGCUGGAGACGAUGAGGAACAUGAAGAAGAAGGCGCCACAGCGAAGGGCGCGCGGGAGGCGGUCGUGAUCGCCGUCGGGCUCCUGGAGAACGGCGGCCAUGUUUGGAACCUCUUGCUCCGGCAUUGUUUUCCCUGUAGAGAGAGAGAGAGAGAGAGAGGGAGAGAGAGAGAGAGAGGAGGGGGGGAUGUACUAAGGUAGAGCAAUGUAGGAGUAUCAUUUUAUAAAGGAAAAUUUCGGUUUGUUCGGUUUAAUAUUAUCGGUUUGUUCGGCCCGUGUAACCGUCUCUCUCACUACACCGGUCCGGUUUAUUCGGUUUUAAUAUCUAAUAAUCUAUUCUAUCUAUAAACAUCAAUGACAAAAGAGUUUUCUUCGACACUUCAAUUUUUUUCUCCGCUGUCCCACUCUUCAAACAUCUAUAUCUGUAUCUAUAUACAUCUAUGAAAAGAGAGUUUUUUUUAGCCUAAGUGUCAACAAUUUUCUUCUUCUUACACCCACUCUUCACACAUGGAAAUUAUUACCUACACCGGGUGUAUAAGUAUAUCACAUAAACCAAAUAAAAUUUGUUAAUAAUAAAUAUAGUAAAAUCAAAAUUAAUUUGAAAGAUGUAAUAUAUAUUAUAUAUAAAGCCUAUAUAAAAAAACGUACUGAGAAAGUCUAUAUAUACAUAUAUGAAAAGAGAGUUUUUUUAGCCAAGUGUCAAUCUCACUUCAAUUUUUUCCUUUUUGUUAGCUUAAAUGGGCCAGCAUCCAACCCUGUGGCGGUAGGCCAUAUGGGCCGAGUCAUGUUCGAAACGGGAUAAGGCUGGAUUGGGCCAAGUCAUGUUCGAAAUGGCGUGAGUCUGGUUCGGCCAAGUCACAAUCGAGAUCUGUGGGCGCUAUAUCUAUACACUUUAAGUGAAUUAAUUGCAUAUUUCUAACAGCUCAAGCUUUUGGAAUUAAUGGUUUGCGCCAACGAUUCGACACUUCUUACUCCCACUCUUCACGCAUCCAAAUUAUUACCUACACCGGGUGUAUAAGUAUAUCACAUAAACCAAAUAAAACUUUUUAAUAAUAAAUAUAGUAAAAUUAAAAUUAAUCUGAAAGAUGCAAUAUAUAUUAUAUACAAAGUCUAUAUAAAAAAACGUACCGAGAAAGUCUAUAUACAACUAUGAGAGUUUUUUUAGCCAAGUCUCAAUCUCACUUCAAUUUUCUCCUUCUUACUCCCGCUCCUCAAUCAUGAAAAUUAUUACCUACACCGGGUGGGUGUAUAAGUAUAUCACAUAAACCAAAUAAAUUUUUUUAAUAAUAAAUAUAGUAAAAUCAAAAUUAAUCUGAAAGAUGCAAUAUAUAUUAUAUACAGAGCCUAUAUAAAAAAAUGUACUGAGUUUGAAGUUUUAUAGUAGAGUUUAGAAAUUAGGCGUAUAAGAUAUAUAUAGGUAUACAUGCGGUUACGCAAAAAUAUCAAUCCCACUUCAAUUCCUCUCUCUCUCUCUCUCUCUCUCUCUCCCCGUAAAAAUGAAAAUUAUUGCCUAUACAGGGUUAUUAGUAUAUCACAUAAACCUAACUAAUAUUUUUGAUAAUGAAUAUAGUAGCUAAUCUGGGGGAUGCAAUGUAUAUUAUAUACAAAGUCUGUAUAUAAAAAAAGUACUGAAUUUGAAUUUUUAUAAUAGAGUUUGGAAGUACAUUGCAUAAGAUAUAGAUAAACACGCGGUUCACAGAAUAAUUUCUCCUUUGCCAUCCUAAAUGCUCAUUGAUUUUUUUAUCUUUUUUCUCAAAUUCUUUCUCACACAUGAUUUUAUAAAAUAGUUUAAUUUACUAAUAAAAAAUACUUUUAAUUACUAAUAGAUCUCACAUUUCUCUUAUCCUCUUUAUCUUCUUCUAUAUUUUUAGCCAAAUUUCUUUAUAUUUCUUCAAAUAUAUUAUUUCUUAUUUAAAUAUUUAUAAUUUUAUAAAAUUAUCUAAUUAAUAAUGAAUGAAUUGUUUAAAAUUUUUCUUUAAACAAAUAUUAUGAUAAAAUUACUUAAUUAAAUAUCAUUAAUAUAUAUAUAUAUAUAUGAUGUAUUAAUAAUUUUAAUUAUUUAAUAUUAUUGGCCAUUUACUUAUAUAUAUAUAUAGAGAGAGAGAGAGAGAGAGAGAGAGAGAGAGAGAGAGAGGGGGGUACUUCUUUUUGUAGGAUGAAUAAAACUAGAUCUACUAGAUGGCUAGGAUAGAGAUAGAGAAUCUGAUCUUAGUGGUUAUGCUAUAUAUGCUUUAGAAAGACCCCAUUAGGAUCUUGCACCCCUACUUUAAUUGUACCGUAGACCAGCUUUAAAAUAUGUAUCACAUAUAAAUUUAUAUUGUAUAAUAAAUUAUUUAAAUAUUUUUUGUUAUAUUUUAUUUUACAAUACUAAUUAUUAAAUAUUUUAUUAAUUAUUUAAUAUACUAUAUGGUAUAUGAAUCAUUACUAGGUGUAAGUAAAAAUUUAUUCUCUUUCUUAAAACUAUGAGUGCAUUAUAUUAAGUAUUUUCUGCACCGAAUGUAUAUGAGCAUCGGGUGUAUAUGUGUACACAUAUCACAUACUUAAAACUCUUUAAUAGAGAUUUUAAAAUCUAAUUCAUUAAAUAGAAUUUAAAUUAUUAACUUUAUAGUUCAUAUAUGCUCAAUUAAAUUUUGAUAUUGAAACAUUUAUUAUCUAAUUAAGUUGCGGUAUAUUGAAUGUUAAUAUAUAUUAUGUGCAUGUAAGAAUUUCUUUUUUUCAAUCAAUUUUAACAAGAUAAAGACACCUUCGCCUUUUUGAUAAAUUGAAAUAAGUUUUUCAAUUUUAAUUUUUUAAUCAAAAAAAUUAUUUAUAGAAUAGUUUCAAAAACUAUUUGAUUAAACUUUUAAAUAAAAUUGGUAGAAAAAUUUAACUCUUAUGAUAUUGAAAAUUAAGAAAAUAUUAAUAAAAAUGUUAUUUUUUGUUAAUGUACAUACGAUUACUUUAUAAAUUUUUUUAUUUAGUUAUAAUUUUUUAAUCUUAAAAUUUUAAUAAUUAUAUAUUUUAAUUGACUAAAAUACUAUCUAUUCGCUGCAAAGCGCAGGUCCUUCACUAGUAACAUAAUGAAACCCCAGUUGGAUCCACAGGGCACCCAGAGGGCAAGGUACAGAUGGGGUCCAGCUGGGGGAGAGGGGAGGGGGAGUUUUUUUUUUUCCCUCUCUAUUAAAAUUUUUUCUCUCUUCGUAUAUGGAAAAGAAGAUUUGUAAUUUUUUUAAAAGUUCAAUCUAAUUUUUUAUUUUUUAUUAUAAAAUUUAAAAUAUAUAAAUAAUUUUUAAAUAGUUUAGAUUGUUUGUGUUAAAUAUAAAUUUUACUUUUAUAAUAUUGAACAUUUAGAUAUAGAUUGUACAAUAAAAAAAAAAAAAAUUGAUGCAGUUUAAAUUAAUUUUAUAUUUUACUAAAUUUAGUUGUGAGAAUUCCAUAAAAUAUACUAACUAAAUUUGUAGAGCUAAGCGAUGCAUUCAGAUUUUGAUGUCAAAAUAUCAUUGACGUACUGACUCAAAUCUAAUAUAUAUAAAAGUUAGAUAAUAAAAACAAAAUUUUGAAAGAUUGGAUAACUGAUUCAAAAUGGUUCAUAAUUGAGAAAAGUUUUAUACAUUUUUAUUUUUAUUUUAAUGUCAAACUUCAAUGCCAUAUUUAUAGUCUAAUAAGUGAUAAAUUUUACAUUUAAAAUUUUUGAAAUAUCCAAAAUAUGAUUGGUCGACUUUUAAUUUUAACAAUUAGGCUUUUAAAAUUCAUUCGAUAGUUUAACAUAUUAUUUCCUCAUAUGAAAUUGCUAAUUAAGCAAAACUUGUCAAUACUCAACUCUAACUUCGUUUGUAAAAAAAAUAAAACAUAAAAAAAAGUAAAUUGUGCUUUUGGUUAGUACUCGAGAUCAAAGUCAAUCGUCUCUAAUGUAAGUGGCAAAGGACUUGAUGGUUAGUACUCGAGGUCCCAAGUUUGAAUCCUAGUUGAUUUACAUUUUCAGCUAAGUUUAUUUUUAAAAGAAAUAAACGAAACAGGUAGCAUGCUUACCUUUCUCUCUCAAAAAAAAAAAAAUUGAUGUUCAAAAUAUAUAACAGGUAGUAUGCUAUCUUUCUUUCAAAAAAAAAAAAAAUAAUGUUCAAAAUAUGGAACUGUCAUACGUAUUAGCCUUUCUAAUGUCAUAAAAUACUACAUCCAACAAAUUGUAUUUUAAUUUACAGAGCUAUACCGGAAGAUAUCCUAUGGGAUACAUCAAACUUACAUGUCCAGUGACUCAUGGGUGGAAUUUUAGCAGCACGUCUUUGGGAUAUACUUUACACCAUUGCAGGGAAUAGUUUCUCUUCCAUGUAUCCUUAGAAAAUGCUGCACGCCCAAAUGAAUCUCACUGGUGAGAAAAAAAAAAAAAAUUAUACUAGUAUAGCACCCGCGCUUCGCUGCGGUUAGGUAAAUUAUAAAUAGUUUAUAUAAAUUUUUUUGCAAAAUCUCAACAACCUCAAUGAGGUAUAUCGCAAUUCUUGUUCAUUUUGUAAAGUAAGAAGAUAAAGAUUAUCGCCAUUCAAAAAAGAGUAAGAAAAUAUAAAGAGAUUAUUUGCAUGCAGCCGACAGCCUAGUAGCCUCUUGUAUAACACCAUAUUAUCCUGCUUCGUGCAAAAGUGCUCUCUGAAAAAUAGACCCUCAAUGCUUGCUUUAACUGGUAAACUAUUUUGUUGGUAAAACUCAAUAUUGUCGAACAUCAAAGCUUUUUGUUUUUGUUAGAUGUGACUCGAAAUUGAUAAUCGACUUAAGUUCGGAUUUUCGACUCGCCAACAGUUUCGCGGUGCGACCAAAUUGAAAAAUAAAAUUAUGAAUGAAAAAUAAAUGUCCGUGGUGGGUAGCAGAUCGAAUCCGAAACCCAUUAAGAGUUUUCCUUUUUGUUUUUGCCCUAGAGGCGUGAGAUCGUGGCCGUUUGUACUCUCUGAAUAUUGUAUUCCCUUUUUUUGUUUGAUAGUGAUGUUCUCUCUUCUCUUGUCCGUGAUUUUUCACUGUAAAGAAUUUUUUUCGUAAAUCUGUGUAUUUUUCUUUAGUUUUUGCUUGUGAUUUGUUUAUUUUGCGUUCGCCAUUUCGUUUCUGUUUGUGUGUUUGUUGUAAUAAUUUUUUACCCAACUUAUUUAUGUCUCAACCAGAUUCUGCAAGGCUACAUAUAAAUGGAGCUAAAAUUUUUCCUACUUCUACACGCACGUACUUGGCUAAUAAUAAUGUAAAAUCUUACGCAUAGAUUCAAAUAUAUAAGACUGAUUUUUAUCUCUACUGGAUUGCUUAAGUGGAGUAGAGAUGGUGCUAAAGGAUGUGGGCUAUCCAAUGAAGGUUGGGAGUGCAGUAGCUGCUGCAGCUGCUUAUCUUCAGAACAGUACCCCUCCCACCCCCUCUAGAAUCUAAGUUAAAUUGCCUUCUUUGUAAUCUCAUUCAGAAGGCUGAAGCCCUUGAUAAAUACUGUACCACUACAUCUAAACCAAUUAUAUUUGAGUAUAUAUGGUAUUAAUUAAUCUCUUCCAAAAUAAAAUAAAAUAAAAACUUGUCUCGAGUUAAAAUGUUAGAUUUACUCAAAUCAAAGUAAUUAUAUGUUCCCUCUCUAUUCUGUAAAAGAUUGUAGCAAAUAAGAGCACAUGAUUAUCGUGCAAUGUUCAUCUGAGCCGAUCGACUCCCUCUCAACGACGUUUUUAAGGACGCUGCCGUCCACCACCACGACCACCAUCUGAACCAGUUAUGCCGUUGCCGACCGCGAGCAUCACCUUCUGCAUCUCGGCCCAUCGACUCCAAAGUGGGCUUCGAGGAGCCGGAGGCUCGAUCAUCAGCUCUCCGGCUAUCUCCUUAAGGUGAGCCGGCCAUCCUGGUCGGCGUCGAGGCUUGUGAACCGAUCCUCAACAGACAUGUCGAACGCUGCGGCGUCCUCAACAAAGCUGAGGAUGGUGGCGCCAUCCAAAACCUCGACAUUUAUAUAGGGGAGACAAGAGGAGAAGGGGAGGGGAGGGGAGAGAAGAAAAGGAUAAGAUCUGAGGAGAGAAGAAAAAGGAAGAGAGAGAAAGGAGGAAAAAGAGAUGCAGGAGGAGAGAGCGAGAGAGAGAAAAAAAGGUUGGAGGAGAGGAUGGAGGUAAAAGAGGAGAGAAAGAGCGAGAGAGAGAGAGAGAUAGAGAGGAUGGAGGUGAAAGAGGAGAGAGAGAUAGCGGAAAGAGAGAGAAAG
rnacentral:lncRNA from 1 species